GAUCGCGGUCAAUCUGACAAAGGAGCCUCUGGAUUUUGUAGUUCAGACGAGACUCAUUCGACGCAAUAUAGCCUAAAUUGACAACAUACAAUGUUAUUUAUCGGCUUGUUGGGGUUCUGAAUGUAUCCAGCUACGUUACAAUGUGUGUCUCGUUUAUCGUGCUUAGUUGAUUGUCUAAGGGUAUUCGUUGUGUGUGUCGUUGGUUCUUGAAUCUUAAUGCUAUUGUCAUCUGUUCUUAGAAGAACUAGCGGGGCCGCCUGUGCAUUUGUGCUUCUAUUUGCAUUGACUUUAGCUGUUGUUCAUAUAAAUUGAACAUGUUUCGAACAGAAAAUUUACUUGACUUGACCGUCAGGAUUGCCCUCACAUAGUUCCUGGCUCUUGAGUUAAAGUUAGUGCUUGUCCAAUGCUGCCUAACUGUACAAAUUUGCUUUGUCAUUUAGUACCAUGACUGAGCCAUUACUCUCGUAAACUCCCAGAUUUCACAUUCACAUUGCUUCUGGGACAAGUAUUAACCUUCUGAUACAAUUACCCAGUACGUAUCACCAAGUUAUAGCUGAUCUGAAUCUUUGAUGAAAACAUACUUUGCUGAUGUGGAUAAACUUUGGAGAAAGAUCAUUGAUUUUUAAGUACAAGACCCAUGGUCGUGACUUGUUUAUCUGCUGGUGCUUCGCCCUUUUGGAAAGGAGUGUCAUGGGCUUACGAAAGCAGCUAAAUUAGCUCACGAAGGAAGCAAAUUAAGUUUUAGGAGGACUAGUGACCAUUCAGUUAUGUGGCAUAUAUUUGCGAAUGAACACAAUGUUACUCAUGUUCAUGUUCCUUUUUGAUUGCAAAUUAACUAUAGUAGAUCAUGUUUGAUUUCAUAUGUAUAUCCACAUAUUUUUAGUUCUAGUUCUCAUGUUUAAAUUUCAAUAUUAGUAUAAUGACAUCAAUAUACUGCAACCAAUUCCUGCAGCAAACGUGGCCGUAGGUAUCGUGUUGUUUGAUAACCCCAUAAGCUUGAACUAAAACCACAGAAGUAUUUUGGAAGCUAAUACCUCUGUCUGGGUUUAUUGGUCCCCUUUGUAUUUUAUGCCCAACUUUGACCGUAGAUUUUGUAUAUCACAAAUUUAUAUUGUUGGAUUCAUAUUUUUUGCGAGAAAACUUUCGGUCUAUUCAUCAACUAUCAAGGUAGUACAUAGAACAUGAGAAGCAAAAUUUACAUCCAGGUCCGUAGACCACCUAGCGACGACUAUAAUCACUGGAGUGAACAGAAGGCGUGCCGCCAUCAUCGCCUCUCCCUUGUCGGAGUUAGGUAAACAUUGUUGUAGUAGACAGUUGAAAAGUCAUCGUGCUAAGCCCUCAUAGAAUCAGCGCACCAGAAUAGUAACCGCCACCGAUGAAGAGACGCGUAGAUCGGAAGGAACUAACCUGCAGUCAAAAAGACAUAGAUGAACGAAGACCGAAUUCAGUCGGAUCCACCGAAACAAACGCCGACCGGAUCCCAUGAGAUCCGUCGAAGACAAACCUCCACACGCCUUCCGACAAUGCUUGAAACAUCACCAGGACGGGGGCUAGACGGGGAGGACCUUAUUCCAUCUUCAAGAAGCUGCCCCCAUCUUGUCUUCUUGAGCAUGACACAAACCCUAUAAAACCUCAGAAAUGCACCUAAAAACGGAGCCCUCCUGCCGGUAAAGACCGGGAUCCGCACCUCCAUGGUCCAAGAAUCAUAGAAGAAGAGGCGUACCGGCGGCGGCGCCGGCGAGAGGCAGGGAAACCCUAGAUGAGUACGCGGAGAGCAGGAGCGCAUCCCUCCCCCACCACCGCCUCCACCUCGCCACCCCGCACAGACACCUCACCAGAACUACUCCCUCCUCUCUUCCCUGAGGUACUCUUCAAUCUUUAUGUGUGUGUCGUUGGUUAUUUAAUCUUAUUAGUACUAGUUUCGCCGAGAUUGCUGAUCGAGCUCGGGCUCCAUGGAGCCUGGAAUUUUGAGAGGUUAAAAAACUAACCUUUUAAGCAUAUGCUGAAAAUAAUACACACAUGCAUAGAGAUGUAUGUUUCAUGUCUGCAAUUUUUCAUGAUGAAAUAUGUUUUGGCUGAACAAAAGAACAAAAACACGAUUUUUUUAGCACAUGUUGAUCACUAAAAAAGUUGAUGAUUUUUCCCUAAGAAAACCAUGAUUUUGAUUUUGAGUAAGAAAGUUGCUGACUUUGUCUUUUUAUAUAGCCCCAUGUGCUGUAAUAGAGUAGCGCCAGGGAAAAAAAACAACUCAACGGCUCCACUUCCCAACUCCCAUCCUCCUGAUUCAGUCAUCGUCCUGGUCAGACUACACUACUCGCCGGAGCCAUCGCCCCACUCCACUCCACUCGGCCACCAUGGCUCUCCUCCGGCGGCCACCACUCGCUCGCACCGCCGCCGCCGCAUCCCUCCCCCACCACCGCCUCCGCCUCGCCACCCCGCACACACACCUCACCAGACCCCCUCCCUCCACUCCCCGCCUCCGCAUCAGCGCGGCCCCCUCGCUCCGCCCCCUCCGCGGCAUUCUGUCGAGCAGGUGCCAUGCGGCGGCGAGAGAUCCGGCGUCGGCGCCCUCUCAGGUACCCGGCGGCGCGCGGGCCGCGCUGGUGCGCGUCGGGGAGGCGCUGUCGCUCGGGUUCCCGCUGUGGGUCGCGUCGGCCUGCGCGCUCGCGCUGUGGCGGCCGGCGAGCUUCCUCUGGGUCACCCCCACCGCCCAGAUGGUCGGCCUGUCCUUCACCAUGCUCGGUCCGUGCCCUCCGUCCAUGGCUCCGUCCCCUGCUUCUCCGUUCCUUCCUUGUCUUUUGCCCGUACAUGUUAGUUGAGAUGCAGUGAUUCAGACUUUCAGAGGCGUCUCGAUGGCUGAAUUUUUAUGAUCGAAACAUGGUUGUGAUCCCUUUAUACAGGAAUGGGAAUGACAUUGACGCUUGAUGACCUGAGAACCGCGCUGCUGAUGCCCAAGGAGUUGGCUGCUGGGUUUCUACUUCAAUACACUGUUAGUGCUCCAACUUCUUUGGUGUUUCUUUUGAUGAUGCAAUAAUCCUUGUAGCCAUACUUUCACUUUUCCAUGUCUGUUCUGCUGCAAAUCGCUUAGGAAUAUUUUUUUAUCCGGGUGAAAUGUUGUCCAUUAGGUGAACCAUAAAAGUUUCUUAACUGAAAUGUUGGACUGGAUGGUGCAUUGCAUGUAUACUUCACCAUCUCUCAGGCAGAAAAAGAAAAGAAAGCCCCAUGAUCUCCAUAAUUUUACCUAUGGAUUGUUAUUUAAGCAUUCGCGGUUUACGGCUAUUCUAUUUGCUCCAAAAAUUCAAAGUGGGUGAUUUAUGUACAGGUGAUGCCACUGUCCGGAUAUCUCAUCAGCAAGUUAUUGAACCUGCCAUCCCAUUAUGCUGCUGGACUGAUUUUGGUUUCCUGUUGCCCUGGAGGUAUGCUUGCAUUUUCCCUUUCUUUAUUUUUAUUAUAGAUUCUCAACUGGUUAAACUGAAAGGAAGCUACUCUCUGCAGGCACAGCGAGCAACAUUGUUACCUACUUAGCAAGGUAAGGACAAGAGAAUGUAACAACCUGCAUACAGUCACGAUCGUACUGGAACAAAGUUCUGGGCCUCUAAUUGAAACUAAUUUGUUCUGAGUCUGUUCAUAUAGUUUUAUAUAUAGGGAUUCCUGAGAGUUAUUUCUUCUCAAGAUUGUUGAAUAACCAAAUUUUCAAGCUGGCCUGUCUAGUGUUGACUGCUGGCAGAAGUUGGUUACAUGUGACUAAAAUCAUUAAUCCCUUUUUGUGAAGGAAUUGUCUGAAGUCUACUAGUAAUGUUUUAGUCGGCUUCGACUACAAAACUGUUACUGAAGAAGUGUAGUCUGUGAAGAGUUGAGGAUUAGACAGCACUAAAGGGUAGAAGUGAAGCACAGGUAGGGAACGUAUGAGGUCACACACUGUUCAUUUUAUAGAGCCUGAGUCAACCUACUUCUACUUGAGAACCAGCCAACAUAAGCCUUACUAGGUCUCCUCUAACUUGUGUGAUAUAACCUACUUACUCCUCCUUGAUCUGCUGGCUGAGCUGGCUUCCUUCUGGACUGCUAAACAAAAUACAAUUCAAGCUUUGAAAUCAGUAUCCCAUCUCCAACUCAGACUGAUACUAGACUGGUACUCCCUCCGUUCCAAAAUAGAUGACUCAACUUUGUACUACUAACUUUAAAAAAGUUAGUACAAAGUUGAGUCAUCUAUUUUGGAACGGAGGGAGUACUUGACAAGUAACCGACUCAGCCACCAGAUCUCUGUUCAUCCGCCAAAUCAGCAUGUCUUUGUCUCUGCACUCUUAUAGUGCUUUCGCCAAUAGGAGUCCGCACCACUUAACAAGCCUUUCCCACCUAUAGUGGUCCAACCGACUAGGACCAUUAAACAGUUUGCUGAAAUGAAAACGAAACCACCUGAUCCUGACAUCCUGUUCAUAUUUAGUCAUGUGAGAGUGGGCAUUAUGCAAGAUUACUGAUUAAGUUUACAUAUCAAUUUACACUGUAGUUUUUUUUUGUUAAAACUGCACAUUAAGGUGGAAACAGGGUCAGGUUCCAUAUGGCCAUAUGCUUGUGCCUGGUUUUAUCUUUGAUUUCUUUAGAACUUAAAAGCUACUUUUACUGGUCAGUAAUGAAUGGUCAAGUGACACAUUUAGUGCAUCACAAUAUACCGUUAUUAUUAAUUUAUCCCAAGCAUCCUAAUAACAUGGUUGAACUGAAUACUUACUGAUGCAGAAGUAUCAACAGAACAAAUUGUUUUCUCAUUGACUAUUAUUUUUUUAUCUUAGCAAAUAUCUCUAAUUCUUCAGUGGAGAUCCCUGUCUGUUAUGAAAGUGGAUCUGAAACUAUAUGCAUUGCUAACUACAUGUAUAAAUAUUAAAGAGAAUCCAAUUUUAUAUCUUAUUUUUAUUAGCAUCAGAAUGUAGACUAAUUUGCAUCCUUGUGUUGCAGGGCAAAUGUUGCUCUUUCAGUGCUGAUGACAGCAGCAAGCACUUUUGCUGCAGCGGUAAUGACUCACUUACACCAAUUACUAUAUUCCAGCGGAGCCAAAUAACCUUUUUUUUCUUCUCAUAAUGCAGUUCAUGACUCCUCUCUUGACAUCAAAACUGGCCGGGCAAUACGUCGCAGUAGACCCUAUGGGACUGUUUGUGUCGACAUCUCAGGUGCUGACAGUUUCUGUAUAAUAACUGUUCAAGUUCCUUUAGGUCUGGCUAAGGUUGAUAUUAUCUGAAUGCAGGUUGUCCUAGCGCCCGUUCUCUUGGGUGCUCUGCUUAAUCAGUACAUGGGCCGUUUGGUUGAGCUGGUUUCUCCCUUGAUGCCGUUCAUUGCUGUGGCAACAGUGGCUGUUCUAUGCGGCAACGCGAUUGCACAGAAUGCUUCGGCCAUCCUAGCAUCUGGCCUACAAGUGGUGCUAUCGGUUAUCUGCCUGCAUGGAUGUGGCUUCUUCUUUGGCUAUGUGCUUUCAAGGAUGCUCGGCAUCGAUAUCGCUUCAUCACGAACAAUCUCGAUCGAGGUUGGCAUGCAGGUAAUUUUCUGCUGCGCGUUUUGUAAACAGGUUUUUACCAUAGGGUGUGGCCCAGAUACCCCACAUUGCAUUUAUUUUAUUAUCAAUGCAACCAAGGAAGCAUGCAAUCGAUGCUUCACUCUUUCUCCUGUGCAGUUUCAUUCUGUGUAGUAAGUAGUUAUUAUCUUUUCCUUGUAGAAGUUUCAGUGUUUGUAUAAUACUGAUUUUGUUGUGGAUGCAGAACUCGGUGCUGGGUGUGGUUCUCGCGGGCAAGCACUUUGGCAGCCCUCUCGCGGCGGUUCCGUGCGCGGUUUCGAGCAUCUGCCACUCGGUCUAUGGUAGCCUCAUGGCCGGGGUGUGGAGGUCCAUGCCCCCGAAUGACAAGCAGGGGGCAUGAUGGGUCAGACAGAUAGAUACUUUAGUGGUUGCGGGGACUCGAGUUGUUGGGAACUAUUUGUGCUUGCGAGAGAAAUAUUUGACCAUGAAAACAAGUCAGGAGCGUGCCUGAGCCUUCUUCAUUUCUCUGCCAGCUUUCACUUCCCAAACGGCCAAACACACACGCCCGCCGCGGAGUUACAUUAGGAAAGAUAGAUGAUCCACACGAGCGGGCUAAAAUAUGCGUUGCGACAUUAUUUUUUUCUUUUUGAAAAACUCCACCAUGUAUUAAUUGACUUAAAACGUUCGUGCAAUUCAUUACAAAAUUUGCCAUAGAAUUACAAAAAUUCAAUAGACCUAUUAUCAAAACAAAACAUUGCAAUCUCGUGAGCCACUAUAUUAGCCCUCCUUUUGAUCUUGGAUAUCUGUAACUUCACCGGUAGCUUUGAGACUACCAUGGCCUUGAUCUUGGGAAUCACCGUACCGACUGGAGAACGAUUAACCGUCGGAGGGUUAACUCUCUGAAUAAUGGUUUUCGUUCCACAUAUGGCUCUCAUGGGAAAGUUGGUCUGUCUGAAGGUGUUACGCUCAGUAUAUUUGGUAAGAUAAUAAAUCAAGACAUGUGAAGGAAAAAAGUUGAGUUGCCAAGGACCUUUUUUGUGCAACGUAUCUAAUCUAAAAGUAACAAAAAAAAACAGAAGAAAAAGUUGAAUGUCUAAGCCCAGGUUCGAACUGGGGACCUUUAGUGUGUGAGACUAACGUGAUAACCAACUACACCACCCAGACAUCAUGCUACUGAAUGUCGAGCUCGCCUACAUAUCUGGUGCAAGCACUCGCACGAUCUGUACAGGCAAAUUUUGGCAAGGUGACCAUGUUACAGGACAUUUGCAAAAAAAAAAGGACCAUGGUAUAGGAAAUUGACUUCGGUGUCAUUAGGUCGGUUGGCCUCACGAACGAGGAUUAUAAUAUGGAGUAGGGGUACUAACUAUCUGGCCACAACUGAGGCAUUCUCCCCGCCCCGGAUACACCGCGGAGUAGGUGUGCACUGCCCCUGUACACUAGGGAAGAUAGAUAACUCGGGCGAACGAGUUAUAAUAUGAGCCACCACAUUCGACAUACGAUAAACAUGACUAAAGCUCCUAGAAGAGAAACCGUAUGCCAUGGCAUGGAUGUUGGCAAUCAUCGUAAGAGUGGAGUGGAGAACGAUCGACUGCAAAGCCCAAGAGUUAACUUUCUGAAUAAUUUACAAGCAAUUUGAGAGAAAGAUGGCCUUCUGAAAUGGAUAAGAAUGUGAGAGGACCUUGUGGCAGAGCGCAAGCGAAUGCCUCGGCUAGAUCUGGCGUGGUAACCUCACUCAUGCGCCCUUGGCAAGCCUGGAUGUAACUUUUACUUUUAGUGUUAUUCACACUGUCUUGACAGAUGAUGAAUAAAUUAGAAGUUUUUUUCUCGCAAAAAAACCUAGGAUAGGUAAAAGGUAAGGUAAGGCGCCAUGAUCGAUUUACUGGCCGAUCGACAGUUAGACGUUCGAAUCCUGGCGCCUGGCCCGACAUCGACGCAAAGUAGGGAACCGGGCGCUUGAGUGUUUUUCUCUUCUGCAGUGUGAGAUAAAGCGUCAAGGGCGGAGGCAGGUCUUUUUAGAGGCCAUCGUUAGCAUCUGCGGUUGGAGCAGGAGAAGCUAAGGUGUUUUUUCUUAAUUCUACAACAUUUAUUGUAAUCUUUUUGCGAGAAACUUUCAAUUUAUUUAUCUUGAAUCAUGACAGUGCAAGAAUAAUAAAGAUAAUAAAAAGAUACAACCAUGUCCUUGGACCAACUAGCGACGACUACAAGUACUGCAGCGAGCCGAAGGCAUGUCGAAGGCACGCUGCCGUCAUCGCCCCUCCCUCACUGUAGCUGACAAACCUUGUCGUAGUAGAUCGUCGUGCUAAGUCCUCAUAGAACCAGCGCACCAGAGCAGCAAUCAUCGUUGAUGAAGAAAAUCGUAGAUCAAAAGGAUCAAAACUGUAAACACUCAAACGAAGAUGAGCGAAGACCAGAUGAAACAGAUCCACCGAAGGCCAACAUCAACCGAAUCUCGUAAGAUUUGAUGGAGACACACCUUCACACGUCCUCCGACGAUGCUAGACGCACCGUCGGUAUGACAAUAGAACGUGGAAGACAUUAUUUCUACCAAGGAACAUCGCCGCCAUCACACAACCUCAACCAAAGACGCGGAAUCUAACAAGAACGGGAAUUAGGUCCCUCUCGCAGGUGGGAGACCGAGAUCCUCUGUGCCCCCGUGGCCCAAAGGCUAUCGGAGAUGGGGCGGACCGGUGGCUUGGCUAAGCGCGUGUAGAAGCGUCCCGUUGAAGAGUUCAAGGUUCAAUUCCAGUGAGCCAUAUGAGUUUGGGUUUAUUUUAGACUUUUCUCUCGGUACCGAUUUAUGAUAGUAGUACCCCACCGUGAGGGGUUUAAACACACCAUUGAUCAUGCAGUCCAACUGUUCAGACGGUCCUUGGAUGCUGGCGCGCGUGCGUGAAUUGGGACGGGAGAGGAAAGGAGUCGGGUGCAGUGGUUCAAUGCACGGCAGGAACCGCGCGACGAGGAAUCCAGAAGCAGACAGGAGGACCAAGUCAUCUCCCUCCCGGUGGGCCCAUCGAAGCUCAUUCCUUUCCCCCGGUCCAAUUCGGCAGCCGGCGACCCCUCCCUCUCCCGAAGAUUCCUCCCACUAACACUAUUCACGAAUUUAUUUAUUUAUUUACAUUCAUACACCCCGGUGAAUGGCGACCGCCCGGCCCCAGAUGCCGCCCCCGCCGGCUCGCCUUUACAUGCUAUGCCGUGAACCCGCAGCGAUCCGUCGCCCCUUCGUCUCCCGCACGACACAGAGCUAGCCACUAGGCAGGCGGGCGGGCGGCCAUGAGCGCAAAGGACAACCAUAAGCAGCAGCAGCAGCGUGCCGUGGCGCGGAUGGUGGCGGCGGCCAUGUCGACUCCGUGCUCCAUCAAGCCCCUGCUCGUCGCCAUCCCCCUCGCCCUCGGCUUCGCGCUCGGCAUCGUGGCGACCCUGUCCCUGAUGGGCUCCACGGCGUCGUCGGCUCUACCAGGUGCCGCCCUCGAGCUCUUCUUCCCGUCGCCCCCCGUCAACGUGUCCACCGAGGUGCGCCGCCGGCAGCCACCGCGGCCGGCGCAAGUGCACCCACAGGCGGCACCGGCCGUCUCGCCGCCGGUGGCUCAUGCAGGCAUUAGAAGGCAUGCGGGUCCGCCGCCAGUACAACGACGACAGGCGGCACCAGCAACCGGUGUCUCGUCUCCGCCGUCGCCGCCGGUGGUUGAUGCCGGCAGUGCCAACAAGCGUGCGGCUAUGCCUGUGAAUGUGACCACUACUAAUGAGGGUGGCGAGCGGGCGGUGGUCGACGACGACGACCGGCUGAUGGCGCUGGCGGCGGCGGCGCCGAGGACGGUGCGCGCGGCGGCGGGGUGCGCGCCCAAGGUGGCGUUCCUGUUCCUGGCCAAGUGGGACCUGCCGAUGGCGCCGCUGUGGGAGCGCUUCUUCGAGGGCCACCGCGGGCUAUACUCCGUCUACGUCCACACCGGCCCGGCCUUCAACGCCUCCGCCGCCGCCGCCCCGGACAGCAGCUCCGCCUUCCACCGCCGACACAUUCCCAGCAAGGUACGUUACGCAUUGUAUUAAUUGCUUGCUUGUGCAUACGUGCACACAAUCAUGACGAUCACACGCCCACUGGAUGGCAUUUGGCAUAGCUAGCUAGCUUAUUUUCCAAAGCAUUGACGCGACUCUCACAUGGCGGGCUUUCAAAAAGCAUAUGCAUGCAUGCAUGCACAGCUUGACCUUUCAAUCGGCAGUCCUGAUUUCACACGGAAAGUGGAGCGAGACGUUCGAUCGAUCGAGUGUCGUCGUUUUCCUUGGAGAAGGAUAGGAAAAAUGGAAAAUCCAUCUGAGGCAGCUAGUAGGUGUCAGGGGGCCAUGGUUAACUUAAACUGGUCGUACUAGUACUAGUACCACUGUGGAUGCUCCGUCCUGUCUUGGCUCCAUCGACGCCAUCACAUGGGAGGCUCGGAGUCCCACACGCGGCGCGGGAUCGCGCGGUUCAUCCGAAGAAACUGGAAAACAACCAAGAAACUGGAAAACGACGUUUUUUUUUUUAGAUCAGAAAACGACGCUUUGGUUUCUGUCCACUCUAUGAUUUCAAGUUACACGCUGCUUGCCUCCUUGACCUUUUUUUUUCUACUAGAAAACCGGGGUUUUUUUUUUCUAUUUUUUUUGAGGGAAAGUUUUUUUUCUACUUGAGGAUGGAAAAUGCACCUCUUUUUUUUUUGACAUGAUUGUGUGCACCUCUUGCUUGUGCAUACGUGCAUACGUGCAUACGUGCAUACGUGCACACAAUCAUGAUGGUUAAUAUUCCUAGUAUAUCUUUCGACAAGUUUCUUUCGCUUGUUCUCUGAUGAGAACAAUUUUUCUUACGUUUUCAAUGUGCACAUGUCGCAAUGCUACAUUGGUUCCACAGUGGCCCAUGCAGUACGACUCGAUCAUUUAUGUAAACGAAGCCAACAUUUUAGGGAAGUGAGUGGUCGUUGUCCCGGUGCUCUCCAUGGAAGUCGAAGCCAUACCUUUCUUGCAUGGCAUGCCUCGUGAUCAUCGAUCAACCCUCCCUAUUGCCAACCUCCCCCACCCUCACCCCACUCGGCAUGCAUCUCCACCACACAGCGCACCGGCUUCCUCACGGCAGUUCACGCUGGCCUUCCGAGUUGUCAUCAGGCAAGAGCUCAUCAAAGGUGAAACUGGAAGGCGAUUGGUCGAUCGACAAUCUAUUUUUUUUGCGGGGAAUUAAGGAGCUUUUUAUUCAUACGAUGAUCCACCGGCCACAUCGGCCAUAAGGCUGGUGACCAGGAACCCGGGGGGAGUCCAUCCAACACUCUGUCACCUCCAAUGUGCAUGUAAGUUUUGCACAAAGGUGGGCAGGGACAUUGGCAUGUCUCCUUACAUGAAGAAUGUCAAGAUAAGUAAACUGAGCAACAAGCUCCUCAAUAUCUAAAAAUAACGGCGCUAUUACAGAGCGCGAAUUCCGGCGCGAUUUCCAAAGGUUGACCACUUUUAAACAAUUUGUUUUAAUUUCAACCCGCGUAAAACCACGAAGCAUUACCACCACCACACCCUCACGCACCGCAGUUGCCUUUGAUCGAUCGACAAUCUAGCUAUGUGUGACAUACAAACCAGCGCGCGCUAUUGCACGCACACACGAUAGAUUGCGGCCGACGCAUGCACGAAUCACAAUCACAGCGCCAAUAGUGAGGCUGCACACAUGAGGCAAUUGUUUUUUCUUUUCUUAGCUGAUGCUAUCGUUUGCAGCUAGGUCGUGCGCAAAAGUGUCGUGUGUGAAGCAAUUUCGCAUACAAAACUUGUAGUUAACAUGCAAACCUAGACGCAUAGCAUGGAUCUCGAGAGGAAACAUCUUGGGCACUUUACGUAUGGGGACAGUGACCAUGCAUACGUACUACCCUUUUUCGAGUAAAUCUUUCCUGAAAGAAAAGAAUAUCUUGUGCACUUUGCGUAUGCAUGCAUGUCUUGGGCCUUGAGGAUCGUCCUAAUUAAUUACUCUCAUCCCCUGUCGCUCACGUAUGCAUGUGUACACGGCACACGGGGCCUAGAGAAUCACCUGAAUUUUGUACGAUAAAUGUUCAAAGGGGUUACAACAUAGAACUAUGUUGGACCUAUACACCGUCCACACUAUGAAAAAAUUACUUUGUUUUUCACGUGAAUGUGCCAGUAAAAUCUUUUUAAAAUAUUACUACAAAUAUUUUGGUAUUGAUCUCACAUGUUGAAACAUGGCAACAAAGUUUGAUUGCGUGUAUUCUCAGACAUCAUAUAGUAGAUACAAAUGGUAUUUUUUAAAAAGAGCUUCCUCUUCUAUUUCUUUUAACUGAAACCACUGCCUUUUUUGUGUGUGACUAACCUGAAACCAAUGCCCCCUCCCCCCCGCAAAAAAAGUACAUUGCCACACAAAAAACUGUUUGCGUACAGAACCAGAAAAAUAGAACCACUAAAUUAGCUAAAAAUUACAAGAGUCAUACAUCAUACCUUUAAAAAAAGAGUCACACAUCAUUGAGUGUAUGAAGUUAUUUUGACUACAGAUCAUCAUCGUAUCAUGAUAUAUUGUUAAAGAGAGCUUAUAGUAUUUAUAAUCAUACAAUUUCAUUAAACAUGCUGCCAUUGUUACACAAACAGGAGGUAAAAUGGGGCCACAUAAGCAUGGUGGAAGCCGAACGACGUCUCUUGGCGCACGCACUGUUGGACCACUCCAACGCCCGCUUCAUCCUCCUAUCAGAGUCACACGUCCCACUCUUCGACUUCCCCACCGUCUACUCCUACCUCAUCAACUCCACCAAGGUGUACAUGGAGUCCUAUGAUGAGCUGGGCGGGACGGGCCGGGGCCGAUACAAGCGUGGCAUGGCACCCACUAUCAUCCCUUGGCAGUGGCGCAAGGGCUCACAGUGGUUCGAGAUGGACCGUGCCCUUGCCGUCGACGUCGUUGCUGACGACGUCUACUUCCCGGUCUUCAAAAAGUUUUGCAAGCGCAAUUGCUACGCCGACGAGCACUACCUUCCGACGUUCCUCCACAUCCGGCACCCUGAGGCGGCCGCCGGACGAACCGUGACGUGGGUUGACUGGUCCCAUGGCGGCCCCCACCCGUCGAGGUUCACGAGGAUGGAGGUCACGAUGGAUUUCCUGCAGUGGCUUAGGGGCGGGACGACAUGUGAGUACAAUGGGAGGACCACCACCGUCUGCUUCUUGUUCGCGAGGAAGUUCCUGCCCAACUCGCUCACCCGCUUCUUGAGAUUCGCACCGAAGGUGAUGGGCUUUGGCUGAAGGAUCGAUGCAUAUACGGGAUUAGACAAAGAACAAUUCAACUUUUAAAUUCUUAGUAGGAUACAUUAUCACACAAUUCUUUGACUAAUGUUCACGUUUCUGUAAAGCAGCUCUCUAUACUAUGUAUACUUAAGGAUAUACAUUCAUUUUCUCUAAUCCGUCCUUUUAGAAUUCAUUUUGUAAUAGCCAAUGUACAUAACCGUCUCCAUGAAUUUGGGCCCUCGGGCAAAAUGUAAAGUGGGCUCUGAAAUUUGAAAAAAUUCAUAUGACUAUAAAUCAUACCCUCUUAAUAACAUAACUUCAAAAUGUGUUACUUCAUACAAUAUUUAGCAAUAUAUCAAAUAUUCAUGCUAAAUUAGUAAAGGUCAGUACUAAACCAAUAAAUUGACCUCCUGUUUUACCGGAAAACACAAUCCGUCUAGUAUUUCUGGAAAUGAAAUCUUCAAUUAUAAGUUUAUAACUCUGUAAUUAAUCUUCUCCCACACAUCAUUUUCACGUGCUAUUGUCACCAAUCCAUUGAGUAUUUCUUAUAGGUGAUUUGUCCCACAUACAAACGCGAGACUCAAUUGAACAACAUAUAAAUCGUAGUUUUGAAAACAUCAAAGGUGUGUCUGCGCUAAUAACAUGACAGUAUUUUUCUCUCGAAAUCUUGAGCUUACGCACCUCUGUCCAGUUCGAGGUCUUGGCAUGUUUCUUGUGGAGCUAUGUUCAGUGUAUAUUUGCGAUUUCAGCAAGAACUAGCAAGAGAUCCACUUAAAGGAAAAUCUGUUUUGCUUGAUGGCCCACUUCCAAAGAAAAGUCAGGCUGGUCAUUGACGACUUCGUCAGGUCUCAUGACCUGACAAAGUAGUGAAUCUUUGUACUUCUGGUGUGAUUAAUACUCCCUUCGUCCCAAAAUAAGUCACUCAACUUUGUACUAACUUUAAUACAAAGUUAGUAGAAAGUUGAGUCACUUAUUUUCGGACGGAGGGAGUACAUUCCAGUCAAAAAAAACAAGACAGUGUUUUUCAUUAUCUAACAAGAAUUACAUAAUGCAAUUUCGUAACAAAACCGACACAAAACCGAAAUUGGCAGAGGGUGGACGACAACUAAAACUAACAUGAAACAAAAGUUAUGGUUCCUUUUGCUGCUCUAUCUACAGAUUGCUAGGAAGCACCCAGAAUGCUCUAUCUGACACCGCCGGAGCUUCAUCAAGUUUCUGCAACUCUGUGCUUCCAUCCUUCACGUUAAAGACCUGCAAUGUUUUCCGGUGACGGUCCGGGAAGUAGACGCAAUCCUGUCGCAAACCACACCUGCCGUCGCCGGAGAACGAGGCACCAAAUUCAUAGAUGGACAGGAGGAACGUGCAGCCGCCGAGGUCGUCCACUGCGCACCAUUGUCGCUUCGAGAAAUCCAUCCUGUGCACGGUGGCGCCAUGGUACGGCUCCGAGGCAUUGACGCCCAACAGGCGUACCAUAUAGAGCUGGUCGCGAGAUUCCACCAAGAAAACUUUCGCGUGACACUCACCAAUGGUAUCCUCGACGGCGAUCGAGCCGAAUACCGGAGCAGCAAGGCCGCCGCAGAAGUCGAUCACGUCGAGACUGGUCGUGUUGCUGUUGAAGUAGAACUUGCCCCGGCACGCCGUGAUCGGGCAUAUCACCACCUUCUCCUCCGGCGGAUCCCAGUCCGGAAGAGCCAUGGUUCCUAUGUCAUACUCAUACUUCUCCCACUGGCUAUCCCCGACGUGACAGAACCAUAUGAGGGGGGCGUCGGGCUGGGCCAGGAGCACGACGCAGCCGGGAGCCGUGGGCUUGUCGGAGAGCAGGCAGUUGCACUGGAUUAGCAGGUCGUCGUCGACGUCGAGUCCCAGGGGCGGGAGCUCGAUCUUGAGGCGGGUCUGGGAGCUCCAGAGGAAAGUGGACAGGGAGAUGGGGUCCCGGGCCAGCAUGAAGCCACGGGCAGUCGGGCAGAUGAUCAUGUUCUCCAGCGCGCCGAUGUCGCCGCCGGCGACCAUGGGCUUCUUGUCCGACAAGCUGAAGAGCAAUCCACGCUGUGGAAGGCGAGGCACGGCAGCGGCAUCGGACUGAUCGUCGACAUCGGCGCGAUUCAAAGAUGUGUAUCGCCCGGUGGGUUAAAUAGAUCGAGUUUGGAAAAUCCCGUACGUGAGAGAGAGGAGGCUGGAUACGAAUCAUGAUCGAGAUGGAAAUAGGAAUUCAAGUCGGUCACGCCAAUCUCCCUAGCCUCCCAAGCGUGAUGAUGUGUUUCAGCCGGUACACAAUGCAUGGCCGGGUCAAUUUUGGCCCAUGGGCCUAAGCAGGAGCAAGCACACCGUGGACUAAACCACAAUAAACGGGCCAAUGGCCCACUUCAGCGCUCUCUCUCUCUCUCUCUCUCUCUCGGGAAACUCUUGCUUUCAACCGGCUGAUCUCUCUCUCUCCCACAAAUCGUUUCCUACGUUUGACACGUGCCACCUAACGACCGAGACGGCACCCCGUUUGCCUUGCUAUUGCGGUGGUGGAGGCGGCGAGGCAAGGACACGGUGAUGCCAGUUGACGGUCGCUGGCGCGGAGACGCCAGCCGUGGAUGCGGAGACUCAGGGCAGGACGCCGGCCAUGGGUACAGGAACUCGGAGAGGAUGGUGCGGAAGCAGGGGAUAGCCGAGGAAGGUGAUGUGCAAGGGGAGGAUAAGGGAUAUUUUCGUCAAGAGUGGGGCAAAGAAGCAAACACGCACUACGAUUUGGAAUUUUGCCAAAAAAUUAUGCGCAUUACAUUUCGGAAUGGAGGGAAUAUUACAGUUUCAACCAAAGAACUAACAAUAAUCUAUUACAAUUACCAUUUCAUGGUGUGAUGCGAUCAUGUUAGGCAUUGUUGCUUCUUAACAUUAUUGCACUGUGGUUCCAGGUGUUUGAGAUCAAUGGAUCCCUUUAUGUUAUUCAAGUAAAAGGGGUCAUCUGGAGAUUGGUCCCUAUACAGAUGAGGUUGUUGUGCAUCUUCCCUUGUUGAGUCUUUCAAAUUAAAAUUUUAACAUCCCUUUCUUUUCACUCAGAAUAGUGAAUAUAUAAUAUAUAAUGUAUGACAUUCUUGCUGCAGGCGUGUCCUGUGUUAAAUGAUCUUACACUAUUUGGGAAUAUGCAAGAGCGAGCAAGUUUACAUGACACCAAACUAUUCUAAGAAAAGUCACAAAAAAUGGAGAAAAAGAGCAAGCUUAGCAAGAAGAGGCGGUGAGAGGAGACACGUGAGAAUGAGAGGAGGAACAAGAGGUUCAAAGCAUAUAACCAUGUUAGAGCUGAUGGUAGCAGAGGACGACAUAGAGGGGGAUUUGUCUCCGUACUAUAAUUCAAUCAAACCAUGGUACAAGCAUGAGAUUUUUUUUCCAGCAUGGAAAGCAUUAGAUAUGAGCUCACUUCAAUUACUUUUAUAAUUUGUUCAUGCACAAACACUUCCCUUACGAAUAGUUUUUUCGUUCGAUAACAAUGCACAUGUAGCUUCAGUGCCUACAUAUUUUUUCGGUAUUCCAUGGCAACGUACGGGCAUUAUAGUAAUGGAUAUAGAAUGCAAAUCUUCAUUUCCUGUUAUGUUAGGAAGACCAUUCUUAAUAACGAUUGGUGCUAUAAUUGACAUGAAAUAAGGAAAUAUUGAGUUACAAUUCCCAAUGAGGAAAGGGGUAGGAUUUUCCAAUGAGAGAAUCAAAUUACCUUAUGAAACUAUUAUGAAAGCCACUUACUCCUUGAUUGUUUUAGACGAGAAAACUUAAAACUAUCCUAAAACCAUUCUGCCUAGCUAAAAGGCAUUAAAUAAAAGCGCUUAUGGGAAGCAACACAUAUUUAGUGAAUGGUUAUAAAGUCGUAAUCAUUUAGAAGUCUUUUUUAGUACAAAUUUAGCUAUGCAUAUUUUGUGCAACACAGAUACCAUAUUAUUUGACUAACUGAGUCCUACACCUUCUUUUUUGAGUUGGAAGGAGUAUUAUUUUUGCCAAGAAGGCGACACCCAUUUUUUCAGCCAUGUAGAGAUUCCAACAUCCAACAUAGUAGAAAUAGUAGAACACAACAAACAUACCUCUAAAAGAAGAGCUGUAACUCAUGACAUUCUGCAGUGUUUAGUGUUGGCAAAUCAUGGCUACAACCGUACUACUUAGAAACCCGGAAUCGGAGCUUCAACAUCCUUUCUAUGUGUAGUUAACCUAAAAUAUAUCGGUACCUAAUAUGCUUUAUCGGACACCGGAGCUCCACCAUGUCUUCCAUGCUUUACAUUGAAGACAUGCAAGAUUUUNNNNNNNNNNNNNNNNNNNNNNNNNNNNNNNNNNNNNNNNNNNNNNNNNNNNNNNNNNNNNNNNNNNNNNNNNNNNNNNNNNNNNNNNNNNNNNNNNNNNNNNNNNNNNNNNNNNNNNNNNNNNNNNNNNNNNNNNNNNNNNNNNNNNNNNNNNNNNNNNNNAGAAGUAAUUAUGUCGCAAACCACACCUGUCGCCGAAAAAUCGAGGGGCCAAAUCCAUACAAUAAUAAGGGGGGCGUGUAGCUGCCAAGGUCGUCCACUGCACCAUGUCACUUUGAGAAAUUCAUCAUGCGAAUGGUGGCACCGUGGUACGUUUCCCUCAUAUAUACAUCACCUCCAUGUCACCACCCUCGUUGACCCCUUCUUUGUUCCCACAUACUCUUUCUGAGAUAAAAAAACUAUCAUUUUAUCUGUUUCUCAAAGGCAGACAAGGUUAUUCGUCCUACAUUUUCAUCCACAUCAUGAGUGUUCAAGUGCUCCGAAAGGAGAUGCCAAGUCGUAGUGUGUGACGUCUCAUGGUUGUGCGACACCUUGGCAACAAGGUACUCUCUAGCACAUCCGGAUACUACCUAUCUGAUAGAUUCACUUGGACAUUAUCAAGGGAAGCACAUCAUGCUCUCCAAUUUGUAUAUUUUUGGGUAACUACCAAUAUAUGAUGACAAUACAUGAAAAUGAUAGGAUAUGACAAACCUACAUUAAUAAAACGCCAACGGAGGUAUGUGCAUACCNNNNNNNNNNNNNNNNNNNNNNNNNNNNNNNNNNNNNNNNNNNNNNNNNNNNNNNNNNNNNNNNNNNNNNNNNNNNNNNNNNNNNNNNNNNNNNNNNNNNNNNNCACGGGGCCUUUGUGCAUGGUGUGGUAGAAGAGGAGCAUAGAUCAAUUGCUUCAUGUAGUUAUAUGUUCACUGACCUUUGUGUUGUCAUGGUUGAACAUGAACUCAAAACUAUAUGGAUUGCGUCCGUCACGGUGCUCUUGCUCUGUGUGGGUGCCAGGCAACCUCACAGAGCUAAACAUUGAUGGAGCACUCAUGCUUGAGCCGAGUGCAAUAGAAUAAAACCGGACAGUAAAAUAAACCGCAACAUGGCACCCAGUCAACACCAAAAUUGGGGAAAUACUAAAUGGGUAAAAUAUGGCAUACGUUUCCUUAGAUGGGGUAUAAAUUGAGAAUGUUCGCUGAAUGGGGUAAUAUCUGUCACAAACGUGGAAAUUGAGGGUAAAAAUUGGAAUGAACUCCAAAAAAGUACAUUUAUUUUAUAAUGUUUUUUUUGCAUGAAUUGACAAAUGUACUUGUAUAUAAAAUAAAUGUCUACUUAACUCCUGAAAAUCAUUUCAAACAAAAAAACAUUAUGUCAGGAGGAAAUCAUUUUUAUAUGUUUCACCUCGUUUUGGAAUUAUUUUUUUAUGGAGAAGUAUAUUAUUUAUCCAUAGAAUAUGUUCACAUUAAUCAUUAAAAACGUUUUGUACCAAAAAAAACUUCUGCACUGACAAAGAUGCUGAAUAACUUAUUUUAUUUCUCAUCAUUCAAGAGAAAUUGGUAUAAAAAGAGUUGCAUGGACAGGUAAAGAAAAAGAACAUCUCUUAAUUACAUGGAUAUAUCCUUUUCAAAAAAUUACAUGGAUAUAUUCUUGUAAGAUGACAGCAACAUAAAACCCGCAAAAGCUAGAAAAGGACAGCAACAAAUUAUAUAUUAGAACUAAAAAAGAAAUAUAAGACGAAAAUGGUAGUAAAAAGGAACGGAGAAUGUGCACCAUUACUUACGCUUUGGGCAAACGUGGCCAGAUUAAUUAGCGACGCUGGUACUUGCAAGGUACUGUAUGUGUGGCAGUAUACCCGCUGGCGUGCACAUUCGGCACAGGUUCAUCAUGCACCAGUUCGUUUUCAAAAUCGGACAUGUCUCCUGCCAGCUCGUUCCACCAGUUCAUUCGGUACUGUAUGUGUGGCUGAUUCGUGGCACCACCCGCCUCGGCUGCGACAACCGCUGGCCUGCCACGCGCGGCGGCGCAUUUUCAGGUGUUGGGCCAGCGGAGAUCGUUAUGGUAGGAAGAUGGAAUCAAUGGAUACAUUACUCAGACUAGUUUGUGAUGGACUGCUUCCAUUCAUUCAGAUGAAGUGGAGAUAGUGAAGGAUGCCGCCGAGACCGCGGCGGAGGUCGGGGAGGAGGUGGCCGCGGCGGCCGAGAAGGUGUCGUCCAGAUGACCGGGCAUCUGCCGGAGGAUGGCAGGCUGAGACAUACCUCCAAGGAAGUCGCGGAGGAGGCUCAUCUUGCACGAGACAUCACAAGGGAAGGUGGUCGCCUCCAAGGUAGUCCGAUUACUUUUGGAGUUCUCUUGCAAUCUUAAGCAACUGCACUUUUUUGGUCGAUUGGAAGUGAAGUGAUAGUUCUGCGUGACUUCAAGCAACAAUCCAAUGCUGCAUUUGUGUUUCUUGCUGCCAGGGUGCUGAACUUAAUUCGAAUUUUGUGAACUGUUUUUGAAAUUUAUGAACUUUUUCCAAAAAUCAAUGAUCAAAGGUUAAUGUUGUUGGUUUUGAUCUGACGGCUUAAACAUGCUAGUUAGAUCUAUUAAUUUAACAGAAAAAACAAGAAUGAUAACAUUAAUGAAAAGGCCCCACGCACCAACGUACGUGAGGUUUUUAUCCCAACUAAGGCGCCCUGAUCGGGGGCACCCAAACCAACUUAUGGUUUAGGUCCCCUGUCGCCAGCGCUAGAUAAAAGGGGGUACGGGAGAGGGUUGGCAGCAUGCGCGAUCACAAUUCUCGUAUGGUUUCACUCCCCUCCCGAUAUUCUCUCACCCCAUCCGAUCAGGGGGAGCGCUGCAGCGACGGGAAGACCUACUCCAGCCGCCGCUGCUGUGCCAGGCUAGUCCCUGGUGAUCUAUCUGCAUCGACUACUUCAUCAAGCCUGCAUCAAGCAGGCGACCGAUCUGCAUCGACCACUUCAUCAAGCCUGCAUCAAGCCUGCAUCAAGCAGGCAACGAUGUCGACAUCAUCCAUCUGUAAUUGUCUCCUAAACCUUCUCUGUUCAUGUUAAUUAGAUGUUCUAGAUGCAAUCAGUUCCUGCUUAUUGCAUCCGAGAGAUGCAAUUUAUCCAACAAAUGUCCGGUGUCCUGUGGGCCGCAGGCCAUCUAACACGCCCAUGAGCAGGCGUUACAAGGGCCGUAUAGGAGCUCUCGGGGAUUUGGUCUCAUGCUAUCUUCCAGAUCGGCCUAAGAGGCAGCAGGCAUUCCCAAACACAAGCUAGAAAGCGAAGUCCACGUGAGAUUUAGCCCGGAUUUAGGCAGAAAGUGGGGCGACUUAUCGCCUCCAGAUCCCUGGUUUUCGCCUUCGUUCCUAGAAUCAGGGGAGAUUGAGGCUGGUUUUAUUUGUUUUUCAGGCUCGGCUAAUAUGAUUUAUCUGGUAUUUAGAAAAUGUGUUGUGGUAAUAUGAAGAGACAAUUUGUUAUCAAAUAUGAAUUGUAUUUAUCAUGGAAAGAGUAUCAUGUUCUGAAUGGAAACGUAGAACAAUUUGUGAGAUUUUGUAUUCUUAUGGAAAUAACAGUGUCUUUCAAACAGAAGGACAACAAUAAUUUGCCAAAUUUAGGAAUAGUUAAAUAUUUCACGUGAAUGGUCUCCAUCAUACGGAAAUGUAAAUGUAGGAAUAGUACUCUAAACUAGGUGUAUGAAGUUGUGAAUCAAUCGUUAAAUAUUCAUCUUCACAUCAAUUGCAUUGCAUAAGAAAAAUGAGUGGACAGCUUUUAUAAAAACCCUAACCAUAUGGACGAGAGGACGGGUAUUGUACAAAGAUACCAUGCGAUAUACGAAGUUCUGUGGUAGGGUAAGAUUGAAGGCGUCUCUGGACGAGGCCGCACAGGCGUUUUGAGUCCUUGCACAUUGGGCAUUACGAAUGAGAACCCUAACAUCAUAAAAAGAAAAAAAAUGCAUGCCCCACUAUUCCGUGGAUCGAUCACGAAUAUGAAUACCGCACUGAGCACAAAAGAAGCAGACCACCCUGAUUUGAUGGAGAUUAAGUCAGAUACAUGCAAAUUUACCUGGAUCUCAUGCCCUGCAUUCACCGCAUUGGGGGUUUCUUGCCUACAGAGAGUGCAGACGGCAACAACAGACGAACGGCGACAGUAGCUAUCAUUGAUGCCUACUUCCUCGACGGCCUCCUGAAAUGGUGAAGGACCAUAAUCAAGGAGAUGAAGGAGUAGAAGAGGCAGAGGAGCAUCUAUGAUUAAUAGCAGGACCUAAAAACGCCCACCUUCUCCACCAUGGCCGCUUGACGUCCUAACUACGACAACGUUGCCGCGUCGUCCCUCGUGCUCCCCGCUAUGAUGUCGCCUGCUCAUGGUCGCACGCCAUGCUCAUUUCCUUGACCCAUCCCCCGCAUGCGCUACUUCACUACUGCAGGGUACGCUGAUGGCCUCACGAGAAUGCUAGGUUCAUCGGCAAGGCGCACACACGGUGAUUGUGUUAAUGCGUCGGAUGAGGCUCACAUUUAGUUUGUGCUUCUUUCUUGGACCUGAGACCAUACUAAAAAUUGUUUGGCCAAAUGCCAACAAUUAUGUCUGAUAAAUAUUGCAUAUUAUGCUGGUCACAAUGAGAAGUAUCAUAUACUAGUAUCAUGCGUACGAUACUAGUGUACGAUACUAUUUUCAUAGUGCAUAAUAUUAUAGAUUUGUAUCAUAGCGACCUCAUUUAUUGUCAUGCAUGACACAUGCUAGUAUAUUAUUUAAUAUGAGACGGAAUCAUAUCAUAAUACUCAAUCCUCACUUUUCUCAUUUUAUUGUGUGCCACCUUAACAAAAAUGUCUAGUUUUUUUUUUUUUGACGAAAAAAAACAAAAAUGUCUAGUUAGCAUGUAUGAUACUACCAUUGUGACCAACCUUAUGAUUUUGUUCAAAUGUCUGAACACAAAUAAUUCCAUGCAAUUUUAUGCAUAUCAUUCCCAAAUCAUAAUUACUCUUGCAUGUUUAAUUUAUUUCGGCAAUUACAAAGCCGAAACAACAUAUGUACUCCACUGCCGGGAAUUAUUUCUAAGCAUGGUAUUCUUGCAAAUUUCAGAUAGUUUACAUAGUACGUAAAUCAUCAAGUGGCUGGAGGGAAUGGUGUGUGCUCGCAAGGUGCGUGAUCCUUUGAUCAAAUUCUGAUUAUAUGUAUGCUGCAAGGAAAAUAACCUCUCAAAGGUAGUCUCUUUCUAAGAAAAAGUUCCUAAAAAUCUGUGGCAAAAACCCCAUUUCCUAGUUCGCUAUUUUUUCAACAUACUUUAAGGGAAGUAGAAGAUUCCCCUGACCGCCACCAUGAACAUUUCCUAAUACAUACGAGACUAAUCCCUGCGCCCCCCCUAGGCCCUAGCAAAAACUUUGCUUUUCAGGAAAUGAAUCACCUCAUGAAAAAUCAAAAUACCCCAUGUCGUAUUUUUCACAAAGGCAGUCCGUUCUAUCAAUCAUUAUUUUCUGCCACUUCAGCAGAUCUAGUAUUAACAUUGUUUUUCAAGCUACUAUUCACCGGACAAAUAGGCCUAAACUAAAUUUCUGAAUGAUAAUACAAUGCUUAUCCAAUGUAUAUACAAUAUAUAGAUAUAGGAGGUAAAUACACUAGGAGUCAUAGAACUUGCAGGCGAGGAUCAAUUUAGUACAUAAUAAACUUAUAAAAUACGUGUUUCUGGUCAUAUAACUUGUCCUUCCGUUCAUAUACGGUGCUUUCUGUCGUAUCCGGCCGCAUCUCACGCUCACGUAGCAUGCCAAAGUUAUGGAGGCCCACUGUCAGUGGCUGAGGUUGUGAGUUAUCCGUGAGCACUGUUUUUUUCAGAACCCUUGCAGUUUAUUUAUUUACGCAGAAAAUUCUCAAUUAAAAAUGAUGGUUACUUCUUGGAGAUUGACUCCUGCCGGUAAGUGCACACCCUCAGUAGUAUCUCUAUGGAAUGGGAUACGAACCACGACCUGCUGCGAUUAGCAGCGUUUGCAUAACCCAUCGACCAAUUGAUGUUUGAUUAUUAGUAGGCACAGUUAGCUCUAUAUAAUAUGUACAGUACAAAUAAAGUCCAUAUUAAAACGGAAAAGGUGUGCAAAAAAGGAUAGCCCCGGUUCAAACCUAUGACCUCCUCACAAGCUCGCCACAUGCGCAAUUAAAGAGAUAUACACAAUUUAUCUUCUAUAUUAUCUUUCUUUUUUUCUAUGUAAUAAAAUAAUUUAUAUUCAAGAUAAAGUUUUCAGAAAAAUCAACUAAAUUUUUAUUUCAAUUAAAAUAAUUUUAAAUUUGGAAAUCUAGAUCAAAGGAAAUAUAGUGCAGAAUCAAUGUACAUAUUUUUUUUUCGACAAAUCAACUAAUUUUUUUAAAUUUGAAUAAUUUGAACUUAGAAAAAUCUAACAAAGAAUGAAUGCACAUAACUUUUUUCGGACAAAUCAACAAAAAAUUCUUUGAAUUUGAAUCAUUUUAAAUUUUAAAAUCUAGAUAAAAGGAAAUAUAGUGCAUAAUGAAUGUACGUAAGUUGGAUAAAUCAAUUAAAUUUUCGUUUGAGUUCUAAUAAUCUUAACUUAAAAAAUCACGAACCAGUAAAUUUUUCGUUUGAAUUCAAAUAAUUUUAAACUUGAGAAUCUACAUAAAAUAAAAUAUAGGACACAGUGACUGUAUGUAAUUUUUUUGGUUAAAUCUACAGAAAUUGUGUUUGAAAUCAAAAUAUUUUUUAAGUCCAGAUAAAGAAAAAUAUAGGUUAGAAUGCAUGUACGAGUUUUUUUUGGAUAAAUCAACUAAUUCUUUUGUAUUCAAAUAAUUAUAAAUUUUAAAAUCUAGAUAAAAGAAGAUAAUGUGCAGAAUAAAUUUACGUAUUUUUUGGAAAGUCAACUAAUUCUUUUGAAUUCAAAUAAUCUUAAAUUUGAAAAUCCAGAUAAAUGAAAAUAUAGUUCAGCUCAUUUGUUCAACAUAAUUUAAAUUUGAUUAAUUAUAAAUUUGAAAAAACAAUAUCACUCAAUCAGAAUGAUCCCACUCUCCCCAUGAUAAUAUGCAUAUGUCAUGGCGAACAUUGUAUUAUUGAACAUUUUGUUUGGUAGUUUUACAUCAAUUGUUUCUUGGUCGAGUGGCUAGUGCAAUUAUUUUAUUGUGUGGCGGAUGUCGGUUCGAAUCCCCCAGGCACUUUUUUUUGUUCCUGUUUGUCGUAAGACACUAGCGUGUUUGGCUGGGGGUAAUUAGAGUCAGGGAAUGGGAAUUAAAGGGGUACGAGAUUUUAAAUCUACAACCUGUUUGGUAAACAAUCGGGCAGGGGAAUGGGAGUUUGCACAAGGGUGUUUAUUAAGGGAUUAGGCAUGAGAAGUAGAUUUUUACUCCCAUUCCCUUGUUUGGCAUAUAAUGGGAAUUUUCAUGGGAUAAAACUCUGCUCACGAAUUAACAGAAUACCCCCGGAAAGAAAUCGGUGGGAAUUGGCUUCCUCAACUCCCAGUCCCCUUAGGUUGUGCGUGCGUGCGUUCAUAGGGGUGAGUGUGUGCGCGUGUAUAUGAGCGCUUGUGUCUGUACUGAUGCUAAAAAAAAACUCCCAGUCCCCUUCCCACUUAAACUCCCAUUCCCUCUAAUCAAACAGUGGACUUUUAAUCUCCUUACCCCUCAACUCCCAUUCCCCAUCUCUAAUUCCCCCGAACCAAACACGCUGCUAUUGUUUGGUUCUAGGGAUUGGGAAUUUAUAGAGGUUUAGGCAUGGGACUUCAGACUCCAACUUCCACCGUUUAAUUAACAAGGGAGGGGGUGGGAGUUCAGAAGGAAUUGUUUUAGUGAGUCAAUCUUAACCCUUCACUAUAACUUAUGUUCACUUCCCUGGUCUAGUCCCUCGUCAGUUCCCAUGAACCAAACAAGGGAAUACAAAUUCUCCUUAAAUUCUCACACAUAAUUUAUAUCAUGCGCCAAACAGGAGAAUGGGAAUAAAACGACUCAUCCCAUGUCUAAUCUCAAUACAACUCCCUACAUUAAACUUCCAUUCCCCUUCCCAAAUAUUGCCAAACGCGCUGUAUGUGCUAAUAGGUGCGCAAUAAAAUAAAAAUUGAGAGUGCUUUCUGCAAAAGAAAGAUAAUGGGUGGCUCACCCAACGCCUCACAACUCAUAGGCACUAACAUGUGGGUCGUAUUCAUGCUGACACGCCACGUGAGCACGAGAUACGCCUGGAUAGAGAAGAAGUGACCGUAUAUGCACGCAUAGGCAAGUUAAGUGACCGCGAUGACGUAUUUUGCAACUUUUAGCACUAAACUGAACAUCAGAUGCAAGUUCUAUGACUGCCACUGAAAUUACCUCUAGAUAUAGACAUUGUCUGAUGUAGAGGCGUCCACACAAUAGUAGAAGAUGGCAAAACUGCACAUAAGCGGCAUAGACAAUGGAAAAAUCUACACAUAGUAAAGUUAAUCAACAUAACCUAAAGCAGGAUGUAGCAACAUACGCAUUGCAUCAUAAGCUUUGAGCCUCUUUUUUUAUGCUUCAACAAAGGGGUUCUGUUGGCCUGAAACAUAUAUUAAAACCAAACAGACCCGUCAUUUAUAGGGAAGGUUUUGGAGAUAUAAAUCAGGGAGGAUAGGGGAGGAUGAAGCAUAGGUUAGAUUCUCUCAGCUAGGUGAAACAACAUGACUCUCCAGUCGUUGAGCAUGGCCUUUUUUGAUUCAUUCACGCAUCUAUUAGACCGAAACAUUAGAUCAUCAGUAGUGGCACGCACUGUUGGAAAUAUGCCCUAGAGGCAAUAAUAAAAGUAUUAUUAUUAUAUUUCCUUGUUCGUGAUAAUUGUCUUUUAUUCAUGCUAUAACUGUAUUAUCCGGAAAUCGUAAUACACGUGUGAAUACAUAGACCACAAUAUAUCCCUAGUGAGCCUCUAGUUGACUAGCUCGUUGUGAUCAACAGAUAGUCAUGGUUUCCUGGCUAUGGACAUUGGAUGUCGUUGAUAACGGGAUCACAUCAUUAGGAGAAUGAUGUGAUGGACAAGACCCAAUCCUAAGACUAGCACAAAAGAUCGUGUAGUUCAUUUGCUAGAGCUUUGCCAAUGUCAAGUAUCUCUUCCUUCGACCAUGAGAGCGUGUAACUCCUGGAUACCGUACGAGUGCUUUGGGUGUAUCAAACGUCACAACGUAACUGGGUGACUAUAAAGGUGCACUACAGGUAUCUCCGAAAGUAUCUAUUGUUUUAUGCGGAUCGAGACUGGGAUUUGUCACUCCGUGUAAACGGAGAGGUAUCUCUGGGCCCACUCGGUAGGACAUCAUCAUAUGCGCAAUGUGACCAAGGAGUUGAUCACGGGAUGAUGUGUUACGGAACGAGUAAAGUGACUUGUCGGUAACGAGAUUGAACAAGGUAUUGGAUACCGACGAUCGAAUCUCGGGCAAGUAACAUACCGAUAGACAAAGGGAAUUGAAUACGGGAUUGAUUAAGUCCUUGACAUCGUGGUUCAUCCGAUGAGAUCAUCGUGGAACAUGUGGGAGCCAUCAUGGGUAUCCAGAUCCCGCUGUUGGUUAUUGACCGGAGAACGUCUCGGUCAUGUCUACAUGUCUCCCGAACCCGUAGGGUCUACACACUUAAGGUUCGAUGACGCUAGGGUUAUAAAGGAAGUUUGUAUGUGGUUACCGAAUGUUGUUCGGAGUCCCGGAUGAGAUCCCGAACGUCACGAGGAGUUCCGGAAUGGUCCGGAGGUAAAGAUUUAUAUAUGGGAAGUCCUAUUUUGGCCACCGGAAAAUGUUCGGGAUUUUUCGGUAUUGUACCGGGAUGGUUCUAGAAGGUUCCGGAGUGGGGCCCACCUGCAUGGGGGGACCCACAUGGACGUGGGUAGUGGGGGCAAGGCCCCACACCCCUGGUCAAGGCGCACCAAGAUCCCCCCUUAGAAGGAAUAAGAUCAUAUCCCGAAGGGAUAAGAUCAAGAUCCCUAAAAAGGGGGGAUAACAAUCGGUGGGGAAGGAAAUAAUGAGAUUUCUUUCCUCCCACCUUGGCCAACGCCCCAAUGGACUUGGAGGGCAAGAAAUCAGCCCCUCCACCCCUAUAUAUAGUGGGGAGGCGCAUGGGAGCUAUACACGAAGUUCUGGCACAGCCCUACCUCUCUCCCUACUCCUCCUCUCCCAUGGUGCUUGGCGAAGCCCUGCUGGAUUGCCACGCUCCUCCACCACCACCACGCCGUUGUGCUGCUGUUGGAUGGAGUCUUCCUCAACCUCUCCCUCUCUCCUUGCUGGAUCAAGGUGUGGGAGACGUCACCGGGCUGUACGUGUGUUGAACGCGGAGGUGCCGUCCGUUCGGCACUAGGAUCAUCGGUGAUUUGAAUCACGACGAGUACGACUCCAUCAACCCCGUUCACUUGAACGCUUCCGCUUAGCGAUCUACAAGGGUAUGUAGAUGCACUCUCUUUCUACUCGUUGCUGGUCUCUCCAUAGAUAGAUCUUGGUGACGCGUAGGAAAAUUUUGAAUUUCUGCUACGUUCCCCAACAGUGGCAUCAUGAGCUAGGUCUAUUGCGUAGAUUCUUUGCACGAGUAGAACACAAAGUAGUUGUGGGCAUUGAUGUUGUUCAAUAUGCUUACCGUUACUAGUCCAAUCUUGUUUCGACGGUAUUGUGGGAUGAAGCGGCCCGGACCGACCUUACACGUACUCUUACGUGAGACAGGUUCCACCGAUUGACAUGCACUUGGUGCAUAAGGUGGCUAGCGGGUGCCAGUCUCUCCCACUUUAGUCGGAACGGAUUCGAUGAAAAGGGUCCUUAUGAAGGAUAAAUAGCAAUUGGCAUAUCACGUUGUGGUCUUGCGUAGGUAAGAAACGUUCUUGCUAGAAACCCAUAGCAGCCACGUAAAACAUGCAACAACAAUUAGAGGACGUCUAACUUGUUUUUGCAGGGUAUGCUAUGUGAUGUGAUAUGGCCAAGAAGAAUGUGAUGUAUGAGAUUGAUCAUGUUCUUGUAAUAGGAUUCACGACUUGCAUGUCGAUGAGUAUGACAACCGGCAGGAGCCAUAGGAGUUGUCUUUAUUUAUUGUAUGACCUGCGUGUCAUUGAAGAACGCCAUGUAAACUACUUUACUUUAUUGCUAAACACGUUAGUCAUAGAAGUAGAAGUAGUCGUUGGCGUGACAACUUCAUGAAGACACGAUGAUGGAGAUCAUGGUGUCGUGCCGGUGACGAUGAUGAUCAUGGAGCCCCGAAGAUGAAGAUCAAAAGGAGCAAAAUGAUAUUGGCCAUAUCAUGUCACUAUUUGAUUGCAUGUGAUGUUUAUCAUGUUUAUGCAUCUUGUUUUCUUAGGACGACGGUAGUAAAUAAGAUGAUCCCUUACAAAAUUUCAAGAAGUGUUCUCCCCUAACUGUGCACCGUUGCUACAGUUCGUCGCUUCUAAGCACCACGUGAUGAUCGGGUGUGAUGGAUUCUUACGUUCACAUACAAUGGGUGUAAGACAGUUUUACACAGCGAAAACACUUAGGGUUAACUUGACGAGCCUAGCAUGUGCAGACAUGGCCUCGGAACACGGAGACCGAAAGGUCGAGCAUGAGUCGUAUGGUAGAUACGAUCAACAUGAAGAUGUUCACCGAUGAUGACUAGUCCGUCUCACGUGAUGAUCGGACACGGCCUAGUUGACUCGGAUCAUGUGAUCACUUAGAUGACCAGAGGGAUGUCUAUCUAAGUGGGAGUUCAUAAGAUGAACUUAAUUAUCCUGAACAUAGUCAAAAGACCUUUUGCAAAUUAUGUCGUAAGCUCGCGCUUUAGUUCCAUUGUUUAGAUAUGUUCCUAGAGAAAAUAUAGUUGAAAGUUGAUAGUAGCGAUUAUGCGAUCAGUAGAAAGCUUAUGUCCUUAAUGCACCGCUCAGUGUGCUGAACCGCAACGUCGUUUGUCGAUGUUGCGAACAUCGGACAUACACGUUUUGGUAACUACGUGAUAGUUCAAUUAAAUGGUUUAAGUAGAGGCACCAAAGACGUUUUCGAAACGUCGCGGAACAUAUGAGAUGUUUCGAGGGCUGAAAUUGGGAUUUCAGGCUCGUGCCCACGUCAAGAGGUAUAAGACCUCCGUCGAUUUUCUUAGCCUGCAAACUAAGGGAGAAAAGCUCAAUCGUUGAGCUUGUGCUCAGAUUGUCUGAGCACAACAAUCACUUGAAUCGAGUGGGAGUUGAUCCUCCAGAUGAGAUAGUGAUGUUUCCCCAAAGUCAUUGCCACCAAGCUGCUAGAGCUUCGUGAUUAACUAUAACAUAUCAGGGAUAGAUAUGAUGAUCCUUGAAAUAUUCAUGAUGUUUGACACCGCGAAAGUAGAAAUCAAGAAGGAGCAUCAAUUGUUGAUGGUUGGUGAAACCACUAGUUUCAAGAAGGGCAAGGGAACAAAGGGAUACUUCAUGAAACGGCAAUUCAGUUGCUGCUCUAGUGAAGAAACCCAAGGUUGAACCCAAACCCGAGACUAAGUGCUUCUGUAAUAAGGGGAACAACCACUGGAGCAGCUUUACCCUAGAUACUUGGUAGAUGAGAAGGCUGGCAAGGUCGAUAGAAGUAUAUUGGAUAUACAUUAUGUUAAUGUGUACUUUACUAGUACUCCUAGUAGCACCAGGGUAUUGGAUACCGGUUCGGUUGCUAAGUGUUAGUAACUCGAAAUAAAAGCUACGGAAUAAACGGAGACUAGCUAAAGGUGAGCUGACGAUAUAUGUUGGAAGUGUUUCCAAGGUUGAUAUGAUCAAGCAUCGCACGCUCCCUCUACCACCGAGAUUGGUGUUUGCGUUGAGCAUAGACAUGAUUGGAUUAUGUCUAUCGCAAUACGGUUAUUCAUUUAAGGAGAAUAAUGGUUACUCUAUUUUUGAAUAAUACCUUCAAUGGUCUUGCACCUAAAGGAAUGGUUUAUUGAAUCUCGGUCGUAGUGAUACACAUUUUCAUGCCAAAAGAUAUAAGAUAGUAAUGAUAGUACCAUUACUUGUGGCACUGCCAUGUAAGUCAUAAUGGUAUAAAACGCAUGAAGAAGCUCCAUGUUGAUGGAUCUUUGGACUCACUCGUUUUGAAAAGUUUGAGACAUGCGAACCAUGUCUAUUGGUGUAUAUGCAUGAAGAAACUCCAUGCAAAUGGACCGUUUGGACUCACUUGAUUUUGAAUCACUUGAGAUAUGCAAAUCAUACCACAUGGGCAAGAUGACUGAAAAGCCUCGUUUUCAGUAAGAUGGAACAAGAUAGCAACUUGUUGGAAGUAACACAUUUUGAUGUGUCCAAUCCAAUGAGUGCUGAGGCAUGCAGUGAAUAUCGUUAUGAUCUUACUUCACAGAUGAUUCGAGUAGAUGUUGAGAAUAUUUACUUGAUGAAACACAAGUCUGAAUUAUUGAAUGGUUCAAGUAAUUUCAGAGUGAAGUAGAAGAUCAUUGUGAUAAGAGGAUAAAAUGUCUAUGAUAUGAUCAUAGAGAUGAAUAUCUGAGUUACGAGUUUUGGCACACAAUUAAGACAUUGUGGAAAUUGUUUCGCAAUUAAUACCGCCUGGAACACCAUAAUGUGAUGGUGUGUCCGAACAUCAUAGUUGCACCCUAUUGGAUAUGGUGCGUACCAUGAUGUCUCUUAUCGAAUUACCACUAUCGUUCAUGGGUUAGGCAUUAGAGACAACCACAUUCACUUUAAAUAGGGCACCACGUAAUUCCGAUGAGAUGACACCGUAUGAAUUAUGGUUUAGAGAAACCUAAGUUGUCGUUUCUUAAAAGUUUGGGGCUGCGACGCUUAUAUGAAAAAGUUUCAGGUUGAUAAGCUCGAACCCAAAGUGGAUAAAAUGCAUCUUCAUAGGAAACCCAAAACAGUUGGGUAUACCUCCUAAUUCAGAUCCGAAAGCAAUAUGGAUUGUUUCUAGAAUCGGGUCCUUUCUCGAGGAAAAGUUUCUCUCGAAAGAAUUGAGUGGGAGGAUGGUGGAGACUUGAUGAGGUUAUUGAACCGUAUCUUCAACUAGUGUGUGACAGGGCACAGGAGUUGUUCCUGUGGCACCUACACCAAUUGAAGUGGAAGCUUAUGAUAUUGAUCAUGAAACUUCGGAUCAAGUCACUCCCAAACCUCGUAGGAUGACAAGGAUGCGUACUACUUCAGAGUGGUACGUAAUCCUGUCUUGAAGGUCAUGUUGCUAGACAACAAUGAACCUACGAGCUAUGGAGAAGCGAUGGUGGGCCCGGAUUCCGAUAAAUGGCUUGAGGCCAUAAAAUCCGAGAGAGGAUCCAUGUAUGAAAACAAAGUGUAGACUUUGGCAGAACGGCUCGAUGGUCGUAAGGCUAAUGAGUACAGAUGGAUUUCAAAAGGAAGACAGAUAAUGAUGGUAAAUGUCACCAUUAAGAAAGCUCGACUUGUCGUUAAGAUGUUUUCCGACAAGUUCAAGGAGUUGACUACGAUGAGAUUUUCUCACUCGUAGCGAUGCUAAGAGUCUGUUGGAAUUAUAUUAGCGAUUACUGCAUUAUUUAUGAAAUCUUGCAGAUAGGAUGUCAAAACAUUGUUUCCUCGACGAUUUUAAUGAGGAAAGGUUGUAUGUGAUACAACCGGAAGGUUUUGUCAAUCCCGAAAGAUGCUAAUAAGUAUGCAAAGCUCCAGCAAUCCUUCUAAGGACUGGAGUGAGCAUCUCGGAGUUGGAAUGUAUGCUUUGAUGAUGAUCAAAAAUUUUGGGUUUGUACAAAGUUUAUGAGAAACUUGUAUUUCCAAAGAAGUGAGUGGGAGCACUAUAGAAUUUCUGAUGAGUAUAUGUUGUUGACAUAUUGUUGAUCAGAAAUGACGUAGAAUUUCUGGAAAGCAUAUAGGGUUAUUUUGAAAGUGUUUUUAAUGGAAAGCCUGGAUUAAGCUACUUGAACAUUGAGCAUCAAGAUCUAUAAGGAUAGAUCAAAAUGCUUAAUAAUACUUUCAAAUGAGCACAUACCUUGACAUGAUCUUGAAGGUGUUCAAGAUGGACCAGUCAAAGAAGGAGUUCUUGCCUGAGUUGUAAGGUACGAAGUUAAGACUUAAAGCUCGACCACGGCAGAAUAGAGAGAAAGGACGAAGGUCGUCCCCUAUGCUUAAGACGUAGGCUCUUCAGUAUGCUAUGCUGUGUACCGCACCUGAAGUGUGCCUUGCCAUGAGUCAGUCAAGGGGUACAAGAGUGAUCCAAGAAUGGCUCACAGGACAGCGGUCAAAGUUAUCCUUAGUAACUAGUGGACUAAGGAAUUUUCUCGAUUAUGGAGGUGGUAAAAGAGUUCGUCGUAAAGGUUACGACGAUGCAAGCUUGACACCUAUCCGGAUAGCUCUGAGUAGAGAGACCGGAUACAUAUAAUGGAGCAAUAAUUUAGAAUAGCUCCAAGUAGAACAGUUGUUUGGAAUAACUCCAAAUAGAGCGUGGUAGCUGCAUCUAGGAGAUGACAUAGAGAUUUGUAAAGCACACACGGAUCUGAAAGGUUCAGACCCGUUGACUAAAACCUCUCUCACAAGCAACAUGAUCAAACAUAAAACUCAUUGAGUGUUAAUCACAUAGUGAUGUGAACUAGACUACUGACUCUAGUAAACUCUUGGGUAUUAGUCACAUGGCGAUGUGACCUGUGAGUGUUAAUCACAUGGCAAUGUGAACUAGAUUAUUGACUCUAGUGCAAGUGGGAGACUGUUGGAAAUAUGCCCUAGAGGCAAUAAUAAAAGUAUUAUUAUUAUAUUUCCUUGUUCGUGAUAAUUGUCUUUUAUUCAUGCUAUAACUGUAUUAUCCGGAAAUCGUAAUACACGUGUGAAUACAUAGACCACAAUAUGUCCCUAGUGAGCCUCUAGUUGACUAGCUCGUUGUGAUCAACAGAUAGUCAUGGUUUCCUGGCUAUGGACAUUGGAUGUCGUUGAUAACGGGAUCACAUCAUUAGGAGAAUGAUGUGAUGGACAAGACCCAAUCCUAAGACUAGCACAAAAGAUCGUGUAGUUCAUUUGCUAGAGCUUUGCCAAUGUCAAGUAUCUCUUCCUUCGACCAUGAGAGCGUGUAACUCCUGGAUACCGUAGGAGUGCUUUGGGUGUAUCAAACGUCACAACGUAACUGGGUGACUAUAAAGGUGCACUACAGGUAUCUCCGAAAGUAUCUAUUAUUUUAUGCGGAUCGAGACUGGGAUUUGUCACUCCGUGUAAACGGAGAGGUAUCUCUGGGCCCACUCGGUAGGACAUCAUCAUAUGCGCAAUGUGACCAAGGAGUUGAUCACGGGAUGAUGUGUUACGGAACGAGUAAAGUGACUUACCGGUAACGAGAUUGAACAAGGUAUUGGAUACCGACGAUCGAAUCUCGGGCAAGUAACAUACCGAUAGACAAAGGGAAUUGAAUACGGGAUUGAUUAAGUCCUUGACAUCGUGGUUCAUCCGAUGAGAUCAUCGUGGAACAUGUGGGAGCCAUCAUGGGUAUCCAGAUCCCGCUGUUGGUUAUUGACCGGAGAACGUCUCGGUCAUGUCUACAUGUCUCCCGAACCCGUAGGGUCUACACACUUAAGGUUCGAUGACGCUAGGGUUAUAAAGGAAGUUUGUAUGUGGUUACCGAAUGUUGUUCGGAGUCCCGGAUGAGAUCCCGAACGUCACGAGGAGUUCCGGAAUGGUCCGGAGGUAAAGAUUUAUAUAUGGGAAGUCCUAUUUUGGCCACCGGAAAAUGUUCGGGAUUUUUCGGUAUUGUACCGGGAUGGUUCUAGAAGGUUCCGGAGUGGGGCCCACCUGCAUGGGGGGACCCACAUGGACGUGGGUAGUGGGGGCAAGGCCCCACACCCCUGGUCAAGGCGCACCAAGAUCCCCCCUUAGAAGGAAUAAGAUCAUAUCCCGAAGGGAUAAGAUCAAGAUCCCUAAAAAGGGGGGAUAACAAUCGGUGGGGAAGGAAAUAAUGAGAUUUCUUUCCUCCCACCUUGGCCAACGCCCCAAUGGACUUGGAGGGCAAGAAAUCAGCCCCUCCACCCCUAUAUAUAGUGGGGAGGCGCAUGGGAGCUAUACACGAAGUUCUGGCACAGCCCUACCUCUCUCCCUACUCCUCCUCUCCCAUGGUGCUUGGCGAAGCCCUGCUGGAUUGCCACGCUCCUCCACCACCACCACGCCGUUGUGCUGCUGUUGGAUGGAGUCUUCCUCAACCUCUCCCUCUCUCCUUGCUGGAUCAAGGUGUGGGAGACGUCACCGGGCUGUACGUGUGUUGAACGCGGAGGCGCCGUCCGUUCGGCACUAGGAUCAUCGGUGAUUUGAAUCACGACGAGUACGACUCCAUCAACCCCGUUCACUUGAACGCUUCCGCUUAGCAAUCUACAAGGGUAUGUAGAUGCACUCUCUUUCUACUCGUUGCUGGUCUCUCCAUAGAUAGAUCUUGGUGACACGUAGGAAAAUUUUGAAUUUCUGCUACGUUCCCCAACACGCACAUGGAUAUUAAGUCCCUGAGUUUCAUCACGAAAAACCUUCAUGUUGCACCUUUUCUACAUGCUCCAAAGAAUCACCAUAAUGACGAUAGAUCUCAUCUUGUUGAGGAUAUCUUGACCCCAUAGAUGAGAAAGGUUUACCAGAGGGUCCGUGGUCGCAGUUCAGAUCAUCGCAAAGAGGCUUGAUGUUGGAGCAAAGGAAUAGCAUGUGAUUGGUAGUCUCCGACAAUGGACAGAAGGGGCAGCGACCAUCUGCAGCAAUCCCUAUCUUAAUCUUCUUUCGUUAGUGUAAAGGCGAUCCUUCUCAGCCAUCCAAGCGAAAAUUUGCAUUUGUUGGGGGCGCAGUUCCUCAAGAUUGCCUUAGGUAUAGGAUCCAUCUUCCACNNNNNNNNNNNNNNNNNNNNNNNNNNNNNNNNNNNNNNNNNNNNNNNNNNNNNNNNNNNNNNNNNNNNNNNNNNNNNNNNNNNNNNNNNNNNNNNNNNNNNNNNNNNNNNNNNNNNNNNNNNNNNNNNNNNNNNNNNNNNNNNGUGGAGAGAGUUUUCCCAUUGAGUCUAUUGUUUCUUCUAUCCUACGAGUUCAAAGAACACGUAGCAAGCAUAUCACACAAAAGUUCAAAGCUCUUUCCGCUAGGUGGGAUAGCUGAGGGGCGAGAUCAAGGUGGAGCAUAGGGUUGCUCGUACAACAAACUAAUACAGUUAGCUAUGCAUAGACAUUUACCCUAAAAAAAAGCUAUGCAUAUACAAAUGUUUUUUAUCACUUCUGCUUUGGUACACCUUCCUAAAUACAUCAAUGACUGAGAUUAUCCCAUAGUCCUUUUCUAGAAGUAUGUUACGACACACGACUGGGCGCGACAGUAAAAAUCCUGAGAAAAGAAAAGUUUGGUACAAGGAAUCGAACCUGUAUCCUCGUCCUCCUUAUUACACUGCUUAGCACUUCAGUACACAAUUCCUGGUGGUAAUAGAAGGCACGAGACGUAUAAGAACACAUGGAUACACGUCUACCCGAUCAAGUCUCGCGGUCUUUCGCUAUUGCGCAUCGUGCCAAAGCCUUUCACGCACACACAAACACACUGGACGGCCGGCAGGCACAACAAUGAUCAAAUGGCUAUCUAUCUAACACCAAACUACGCGUAUUUGCAAUGCCCCUUGCGUCCGCACGCUAGGUACCUGCUCGAGUCUUUUGCUUAAUACGGAUCGUGUCAAAGAAUACACGCACACAAGUUUAAUUCUCAACAUAUAUAAACGCACCCACACUAUUGGAUAUCUAUCCCAACUAAGCAUGUUUGCGUAAUCGCGUUGCCCCUUGCGUUACUCAACUGUGUGUGCAGUCACACAGGAACAUUCUUCAAUUUUCGAACAAAUUUUGAGAAGGAACAUUUUUUUUGAAAAUAUGAACAAACUUUGAAAAAUGGGACCAAUUUUUGAAAUUUGUGAAGAACUUCUCUUCAAAUUCGUCAAUUUUUUUUGAAUUCACAUAUGUCAUUUUUUAAAGAAGACGUGAACUUUUUUUCAAAUUCGUGAAGCGGGGCCCUUUUUUUAUAACACUAUAACUUGAGUAACUCGCCGUCAGAAGCACCAAGAACAUACCAUAUGCCCUCAUGUUAAUCAUGCUAGCUCUUGAAAACCUAAAUACAAGAAAGCACCGUCCAUUAUAUCAUUGAGUUAGCAUACUGCAACAUCAUUCAAUACCAGAAAUCUGACAUGUUUAGUUGCAUAGCAAGAGGACACUGAAACAUGAAACUAUAAGGAAAACAUAUAUACACUUGCAAACUGUUGCCGUGCAUCCCAUUUGACAAAGCUCAUUUGGGCAGAACAACUACUUAGUUUGCCAAAACUAGACCCACAGCAACACAGAUCUACAACUACUUCAAAUUAAUCUACACAUCAUAGAAAAUAAGAAGCAAAGAUGUUCGAUACUCUGAAGCAACAAUUUUUUUAUCCUUUAUUUCUUGUGCGAGUAAAGUCAACCUAACUUGUAAUAUAUAUAAGGUCAACUACAAGCUACUUACAGCUAAACAUGUUACCGAGAGACACUUGUAGCUACAUGCUCAUUAUGUUAGAUGUUUCUGCAGGCCCUAUCUGACCCAAGUUAACAUUGGUAACCCACCAAAAUCAUUUAGAGUACUCAUUGAUACCGGUAACAAUCCGGCAUGGGUGAAGUGUCAAGCUGGACCGAGUGUGAGUCAUCAGCCCCAACAAAACUAUGUUUAUUCCCAUGUACUUCUUCAAACAUAAAAAAGGCCAUCGUCCUAUUUGUUUUUGUAUAUACACCAGGGGGCAUAUGCCCCCCCCCCCCACCCUGCCUAUGUGCAAGGUGUGGGAGAAAAGGAGCAUGGAUCAAUCACUUCAUCUAGUGAUUUGUUCACUUAGCCCUUUCAACCCGGCCGGGCGGUCUCUCUCUCUCUCUCCCUCCCUCCCUCUCUCUGGAAAAAUGAAGUCUUUUUCUCAGAGAUCCAUUUAGAUACGAGACUUAAGGUCAUAACUAUAUAUCGGUCGUUUCUCAUUUGGGUUUCAUUCAACCAUUUCAAAAUAAUGUCAUAAAAAUACGGUAAUAAAGACAAUUAUACCAAUGUUUAUGUGAAGUCCGGCCACCGAGUUAUCUUGUCCACCUUAUUGCUAUGAUCGUUGGUCCUCUUGUUUUUACCCACAUAAAAAUUCAUUAGUGGCCUAAGCGGUGGGCUUUGAUCUGGCCUUAUCUAUGUCAGCGAGUCUAAGCAUCAACUAUUGUGAAAUAUGGAAUACACAAGAUAGUGUGGAAAUUGUAUGAUCUCAAGAAUAUUUGUGUUACUGUUGUAUUGAUCUGACCCUCCUAGGGAUAUAUAUAGAGUACAUGGGGAGUAGAGGCUUGGAGUACAAGACAAGUUACACAUGGUUUAAACAUAUUCUAUCUCUACCUCCUUAUUUCUAACUUAAACUCAAUUAUACUUCUAACAUUUCCCCUCGGCCAUAGAGGGAGUGAAGCGGACGAUUGCGACUGAAUUUAAAGUCUUGUGCUCUCGUCGUUUUCUUCACCUCGCCAUUAUCACUGUGUUUUUGAUGGGUCGGCACCUAGAGCGGUGACUGUGUCCCCUUCUGGUGCCUUCUCUGUCUUUCCUUUAUUCCCUCCCGCGGUCACAAUGGGAGUGGCGUGGACGUUGUUGACCUGAGCUGUUACCGAUGUGUUGCUGUAGACAUAGUCGUGUAGUCGAUGUAGAAUUCAUCCUAGUUGAUGUAGCCGCAAUCGCCGGAGGCGUAAAAAAAUGUGCGAUGUGUAUGACGGAGCUGCAAUCAUGUAGCCGAUGUUUUGCACCUAGAGAGGUACCGUGGGAGGCGAUGUUUUGUAGGCGACGUUUUGCAUCUUGAGAGAUACUGUCGCCGGCGUUUUGCAGAUGUGACAGGACGCGGUUAUAGGUAAGUUCACCAGUUUUGCCAAGACUGAAGGAAACCCACCGAGCAUACAACGGCUCUACCAGAACCACCGUGUGCGUGGUUGUAGGAACUUUCACAAUAGUGAUGCCGUUUUUUGAAGGAGUUGAUCUUCCUCGGUGCGGGUGCAGGUCGGUGGCUCGGUGUAGAUGAGGCAGGUCGUGCACGUCGUUGCUCAUGUCCCGCACGCAAGUGCUGGAGUCGAGCAGGCGUGGUACGUAUCGCUGAAGAGCUCGGAUGUGGCUUGGGAUAGUCAGGUGUGCAACAGUAUGCAUGCACAUACAGGAUGGCUCCAGGACUUGCAUGUAAGUACAUACCGUGUGCAUGGCCCUUGCCUGCAUGAAGACCCGGUUGCUUGGAGUCGAGGCGUGCGCUAGGGACGUGUGUGGUUGCAGUUUGCAACAGUAGUUGUAUUGCACGUCCAUCUCCAGCCAGCCUGGUUGAUGAAAUGCGGCCUCAUAUACAGCAGAUGCAACCUGUUUGGGUGCCUGCAUCGCAUAGAGAGGCAUUUACCCUCUGCUGUUUGGUUGCCGUUUUUGUGCUUAGGAUGUGUGCAGAUGCAAACUUCAGUUGUUUGGUUACAAACAACGUUUGUGUUCUGCUCAUCCCAUUCAAAUGUGGUGGCCUUACCACCACAUGAUCAGCACAACAACAACAACAGAACAGUAAAAUCAAACAAAGCAAGCAAUGUAAUGACAACAAAUUUAACACAGCAAGUAAGGAAAAGACAGCAAACUACUUAACUACAUAGCAUAAGUCUAGAUUAAAAGUAGGGGCAUCCUCCUUCCCUGCUCCAUGCCAGGGUGCUGCUCCUGGCCAAAAUAUGAACAACUUCCAGCACAAGUCUCGCCACAGACCAUAAAAGUUCUCCACUAACACCUUACUUAAGUUAACUACAUAACCUGCUGGAUGUUACCAAUGCAAUUGUGCCUGGUGCAACGAAACCUGCACAUCACCGAGGAGUCGUGGUUGUAGAUCUGAACCUUCAGUCCGAGUCCGGAGAUGCGCACAACGACGAGGUCGCCGGGGACGAUCCGAUGGCGGCGACAGAAGUAGUUCCAGCCCCGACCAAGCACCAUGUGCCCCUCGAAGUUCUGCACCUGCACCCAGAACACGCACCGCUUGUUCGCCGACAGCCUGACCACGCGUGGGAGCCACUUGAUGACCAGCCAGGUGUUCAUGACCUCCACAAACUUGGGAGGCACGAUGAGCAUGGUGAGGUCCUCGUUGUCCUUGAUCUGCUAGUAGAAGCGCAUCGGCUCCUUGGCCCCCCUCCUCGUGGCCCUGCCUCGGAGAUCGUCCCCUUGAACGAGGCACGCUCGUGAAGGCCAUCCUGCCAGGCAGGUCCGCCUUCCCGAGCCACCUGUUCGUGGGGAUGAAAUCCUCGGCGCGCUCAGCUCCGGCCACCACCUGAGCUCCUCCUCCCGGCACAUCCCAGUCGGUCUUCAAUAUCUUGUCAGGUAAGAUGACAAGUAUUAGUGCACAAACUCUUUGCAAAAUGGCACUGAUCAGGGACAUUUGCCCAAGAGCAAAUGACACUGAUCAGUCCACAAACUCUUUGAGGAAAUGGCACUUAUCAAUGGCACUUGCUGUUGGGCAAAUGCCACUGAUCAGUGGCACUCAUCAGUUGACUUGCUGUUGGGCAAGUCCACUGAUCAGUGCCAUCUUCUUUGAUGCAACUGUCACUCAACACUGCACUAUCCUAAACACGGUAACAUCUAAAAAUAACAACACCAAGUGCCAAUAGCACCCAUGUGCAGCCAUGCAGAUUUGGCACCAUCCUAAAAUGCUCCUACUACAUGCAUAUAUAACAUUCAACACAAACCCUAGCUAGAACAUGUAUGUUAGCAACAUGAAACAUGAACACGAUCCUAUCUAGAACAUGAACAUGCCAUCAGUCAACAUGAUUCUAGCAUUCAUCACUCAACACGAAGAACAUGAACAUGCCAUCAGUCAACAUGAUUCUAACAUUCACCACUCAACAUGAACAUAAUUCUAGCAUGAACACACCUACUAGCAUGAACACAAAUCAUAGGACACACAAGCAGUAGCACAAGAAAAAUUAUCCUAGCACACACUUUACAAAACAAGAAAGAUCAGUUCGAUUGGAUUCGAUUGGGAUCGCACCCAACCGGAUCUGCUAUAAUCCUAUCUAAUCCUAUCGAAUCCACUAACUACUACCACAUGCCUAAGAAAUAAACAUCUAAUCUACAUCUAGGAGCAAGGAUUGAGGGGUUUGACUCACCGGAGCACGUGGAGCCGCGGCGAACCGAGGCCGGGGAGAAAACCCCGUCAGGAAGGAGAGAGGGGGCGGAGCAGACGAGGAGCCGGCCCCGGCGACGGCAUGCGGCCUCGGCCCCGUGCUCAACGCCAAGCCGGAGGUCGAGAAGGACGGCCCGCCGACCGGAGAAAACCCUUGGACGGGGGUCAAGAAAACCCCCGUGGCUAAUGGGGUCCCAAGAAGGGGCGGCUCCGUCGACGGCGCCGGCGCCAAGCCCAGGACGACGAGGUCCGGAAUCGGUGGCGGAGCAGGAGCGACCGGCACCGCAUUGUCCGGCGCUCGUGGUGGCCGGCAGCAGAUGGGGACGGCGUGCGCAGCGCCGUCGCCAGGUCGAGGCCCGAGUUCUGGAGCCCGGCCAGCCAGCGCUCUUGGAUGCCGGUGAUGCGCUGGUCGACGGGGGUCAGAGGGCGGCUCGGCGGUGGGCGUGGCGGAGCCAUCGGAGAUGAGGAGAUGGAGGGGCGGUGAGGAAGAGAGUGGGAGUGGUGGGAACAGUGCGUCUGGGCGCUGACAGGAGAGUGGGGGGAGAGUAAUAAGACGUCGCCUCCGUCUCCCGCACUGCCCAAGACGUGCAACUGCCUUGCACGCGUGGACGCGCGCGGCCAGGCUCGCGAGAAACUGCCGCCGGGCCAGGCUGCGGGCUGCUUUAAGGUCCAUGCGGGCCUCAAACUGCAUGCAGCCCAGGCAAUCAAACAAGCCAUGCACAUCCCACGCAUGCUUGGUUGGGCUGCAUGCGGACAACCAAACACGCCCUAGAAAGCUGCGGCUGGGCGGUGCAGCCAUCGGGCUUGCAUCUCGGCUGCUGGAACAGGCGGUUGUUGGCGCACGUAGCUGCCGUUUGCCGCGCAUAGAGUCCGCCGUAGGCGGGGUAGACGGAGAUACGAGUUGAUGUCGGCCGUCGGGAGAUCCAUGUACGUACGCCCUCUAGUGAUCGGGACGUGUUGUGUGAUCCGCUCCUGUAAGACAAUAAGUUUUGGGGAACCAGCACAACCCACUAGGGGUGGCUUAUCUCAUUAUAUAUAAUGGUUGUGUUACAAUAUGUACCAUAUACGUACAUAGGUACAGAAGCUAUACAUAGUCUAACACCCUCCCUCAAUCUUAGCCACUUUCUAAAGAACUGAGAAGGGUAAGAUUGCGCCUACAAGCCUCAAACUGUGGCAGCGGUAAAGGCUUAGUGAAGAUGUCUGCAAGUUGAUCCUUAGAUGAGAUAAACUUGAUCUGGAGUUGCUUCUGUGAUACACGUUCCCGUACAAAGUGAUAGUCAACUUCAAUAUGUUUCAUUCGGGCAUGAAAUACUGGAUUUGCAGAAAGGUAUGUAGCACCGAUGUUAUCACACCAAAGAAUAGGAGGCUGUGGUUGAGACAAACCCAACUCCUGAAGCAAAGACUGCACCCAAAUAAUCUCUGCAGUAGCAUUAGCCACAACCUUGUACUCAGCUUCAGUACUGCUACGUGACACAGUAGCCUGUUUCCGAGCACUCCAGGCGAUCAAAUUAGAGCCAAAGAAUACUGCAUAACCCCCCGUGGAUCGCCUGUCAUCUGGGCUACCAGCCCAAUCUGCAUCAGAGAAGGCCGAAAGGACCCGAGAGGAAGUCGGCCGAAUAUGCAUACCAAAUGUCAGGGUGAACUGAACAUAACGAAGAAUGCGUUUAACAGCAGCCCAAUGAGUAUCUCUGGGAGCCUGAAGAUACUGACAAACCCUGUUAACAGCAUAAGAGAUAUCUGGUCUCNNNNNNNNNNUUUCAUAUAAACCUCUUCCUCCAAAAAUCCAUGUAGAAAAGCAUUCUGCACAUCAAGUUGACGAAGUGACCAACCACGAGAAACAGCAAUGGAGAGAAGAAGCCGAAUAGUGGUAGGCUUGACGACAGGACUGAAGGUGUCCUCAUAGUCAAGACCAUGACGCUGCUGAAAACCGCGAGCAACAAGUCGCGCUUUGUAACGCUCAAUAGAUCCAUCCGAAUGCUUCUUCACUUUGAAUACCCAUUUUGAGUCAAUAACAUUUACCCGUGGUGGUGGAGGAACGAGAGUCCAUGUCUUGUUACGAAGAAGAGCAUGAAACUCCUGCUCCAUAGCCUCUCGCCAAUGUGGAAUGCGCAGGGCAGCCUGAUAUGAGCGAGGCUCAGAAGAUGGAUCCGCAACAGCAGCAGCCAAACAAGCAGCCAACCAAGCAACCGUACCAUCCUUACGUUCCUUAGGUUUGAAAAUGCCACUGCGACUGCGUGUAUGUGGUCGGGACACAGGAACCACCGAGGUCGACGGAGCAGCCUGCAACGGGCUGGAGGACGGCGACGUUGACGAGUCAGCCGGUGACGAGGAGCCAGUCACGGUAGCCUCGGACUCGGUUGGCGAAGAAGGCCGACCCACCGGCGAAACCGGCAGAGCAGACGAAGCAGCUGGCGACUCCGGCAUCACAGACCGGGCCGAUGGCGAGCUCGGCAUAGUGGGCCGUGGCGCAGUCGGUGUCGCGGGCCGAUCCGCUGAUGAAGGCGACGUGAGGACCCGAGCCGCGGGCGAAGACGGCGUGACGGGCCGAGCUGCAGGCGAAGACGGCGUGACGGGCCGAGCCGCGGGCGACUCGGCGGCCGCUGGCGAAACGGACCGAGCAGUGGAGAUGCUCGGCGCGACGGGCUCGUCGGGUGAUCAUGCAUGGGCACGCGAAUCGAUGCCAUGCAACAUAGGGCAAUCGACGUGCCCACCAGAAGACGACGAUGAUGAUGGUGAAUCCUCCAACAGCUCCAAACGAGCUCCACGUCCGGUUCCUGCACCAUGGUUAGGUAACAGCAAAGGAGAGUAUGCAACAUCAUCAAAUUGGUCAGAAGCAACAGAGGAUGAAUGCAGGGAUGGUGGUUCGACAGUGGACACAGGAAGGUUGGCAAAGGGAAAAACAUGCUCAUCAAACACGACGUCCCGAGAUAUAUAGACACGAUUUGUGGGAACAUGAAGACAUUUGUAACCUUUAUGAAGAGAGCUAUAGCCAAGAAAAACACACUUCUUAGAACGAAACUCAAGCUUGCCCUUGUUAUAUGGACGAAGAUGCGGCCAGCAAGCACACCCAAAUACCUUGAGAAAGGUAUAAUCAGGUUGUUCAUUAAGGAGAACCUCAAUGGAAGUCUUCAUGUUUAAAACACGAGUAGGAGUACGGUUGAUGAGAAAGCAUGCAGUGGUGAAAGCAUCACUCCAAAACCGAAACGGAACAGAUGCAUGGGCCAAAAGAGUAAGACCAGCUUCAACAAUAUGACGAUGCUUACGUUCCACUGAACCAUUCUGCUGAUGUGUAUGUGGACAUGCUAAACGAUGAGCUAUCCCAAGCGACUGAAAGAAAGAGUUGAGGUUGCGAUACUCGCCCCCCCAGUCUGAUUGGACAUGAACAAUUUUGUGCUUGAGAAGACGUUCAACAUGUUUUUGAAACUGAACAAAAAUAUCAAACACAUCAGAUUUGCGUUUAAUAAGGUAAAGCCAGGUAAAGCGACUAUAAGCAUCAACGAAACUGAUAUAGUAAUUAUGACCACUGACAGAAGUCUGAGCAGGACCCCAUACAUCUGAAAACACAAGUUCUAAAGGAUGUUUCACCUCACGACUGGACUCCGAAAAAGGAAGUUGAUGACUCUUCCCCUGCUGACAAGCAUCACACACUGCUACAUCUUUAUGACUAGACAAACUAGGAAGCUCAUGACGACGCAAAAUAUGACGGACAAUAGGUGUGGCCGGGUGACCAAGACGAGCAUGCCACUGUGACGGAGAGACCCGAACUCCACUGAAAACAUGAGCGACACCAGGAUGCUCCAGACGGUAGAGGCCUUGGCACAACCGCCCACUAAGAAGAAUGUCCCUCGUGCCCCGAUCCUUAAUAAAAAGAUCAAAAGGGUGAAAUUCACAAAGCACAUUAUUAUCACGUGUGAGUUUAGGAACUGAAAGAAGAUUACGGGUCACAGAUGGAACUCGAAGAACAUUGCGAAGCUGGAGACUCCUAUUGGCAUGUCUAGUGAGAAGAGAUGCUUGACCAAUAUGAGAGAUGUGCAUACCUGCUCCAUUGGCGGUGUGGAUCUUGUCGGAGCCAUGAUAGGGUUCACGAGUGUGAAGCUUCCCCAUCUCGCUGGUUAGAUGCUCUGUCGCCCCAGAGUCCAUGUACCAGUGUGGAUCGAUGGAGUAGGACUGAGUGUGUCCCUGUUGCUUCUGCGGCGCGGGACGAUCAGCCAUGGCGACCUGACGGGCAUUGUUGCGUGUAUCUUUGCCGUCAUUGCCAAGACCAAGGAAGCUUCGCUGGAAGCGCUUAUGACACUUGGAGGCCCAGUGCCCAUCGCGGCCACAAAGCUGACACACACGUGGACCGCCAGCCCCCGGUAAGGUCGCAGUAGGUGGGGGGGCCGAGGCGGGCGACGGUGGCAGCCCCAAGGGAGACCGGGGUGAUGAAGAAGAGCGGCCACCCUUGGUGGCGGCGUUGGCCGAGAGGGAGCCAGUGCCCCUGGUGCGGCGAGUCUCGACCUGUUGCUCAGUGAGAAGGAGCCGAGAGAAAACCUCGUGUGCCAGCAUGGGUGUCGAGUUGCCCCGCUCGUUGAUGAUCUCGACUAAGGCAUCAUACUCCUCAUCAAGACCAUUGACAAUAAACGAGUUGAACUCGGAGUCGGUGAGGGGCUGUCCAAUGGAGGCCAAUGUGUCGGCGAGGCCCUUGACCUUGUUGUAGAACUCAGUGGCAGUGGAGUCAAGCUUCUGACACUCUCCAAGCUGACGACGGAGUGCAGAGACACGAGCCUGGGACUGCGCUGCAAAGGUGCGCUCAAGGAUGGUCCAGGCCUCAUGAGACGUCUUCGCGAAGACAACAAGGCCGGCAACUGCCGGCGAGAGCGACCCCUGGAUGGAGGAGAGGUUCGCCUGGUCCUGCCCCGUCCAGACGCGAUGGGCUGGAUUGUAGACCGGACCGUGCACGCUGUCUACCAGCGCGGGUGGGCAGGGAAGCGAUCCGUCGACGUAGCCUAGCAGGUAGUGACUCCCCAAGAGCGGGAGAACCUGCGCACGCCAGAAGAUGUAGUUGUCGGCGGAGAGCUUGAUGGUGAUGAGAUGACCGAAGUGAAACGGCGGCGGCGAAGACGAUCCCAUCGAGGAGGCUGCCUGGGGUGCAAACACCAUGGAGGCAGCCGGAGGCACCGAAGCCGAUGCGGGAGGAGGCGGGACCGCAGCCAGGGCGGGCGCCGCAAAGCUCGCGGCCGGUGCGGACGCCGCAAGGCCCGCGGCCGGGGCGGACGCCGCCAACCCCGCCAGCGGGGCAGUGUGAUCCGCUUGCGGCAGGAGCGGCGGGACGACGCCUGCGGAGUCCGCAGCGGACGGCGGCGCCGCGGUGUGGACCACGAGGUCACGCCCAAGCGAGGGCGCCGGCGGCGUGGAGAAGACGGAGCCGAUGCUCCUUGUCCCGAUCGGAGCCGGAACAGAGACGGCAUCGAGCGGGAGGUUGAGCAGAGCCGCAAGAGAGGCCGGGAGGAAGCCCGCAGCAGUGGAACCGGUGGUGGCGGCGCUCGACAUGGCGGCGGCGCGAUCGGUGGCACGGCGGCGGCGGUGAAGGCGGCGGCGGCUGCGGCGGCGGUGCGGGUAUUAGGGUUUAGAAGCGGAAGCGAUCGUAACCUAGCGUGAUACCAUGUAAGACAAUAAGUUUUGGGGAACCAGCACAACCCUCUAGGGGUGGCUUAUCUCAUUAUAUAUAAUGGUUGUGUUACAAUAUGUACCAUAUACGUACAUAGAUACAGAAGCUAUACAUAGUCUAACACUCCCUACAGGCCAGGACCCCGUGGAUGCAUCGGUCUUCGAUAUCUGGAUGCAGAAUCGCUCGAGGCUGCCGUUUGUCGCCGGAUGGAUGCUGCAGGCGCGUGGCCGAGGAGCUGGAGACGCGCCGGAGUUGCUGGCGUGUCGCGCCUCGCGUGGCCGCCGGGGACGUCGUCGUUCGACGAGUGUGCGCCAACUUGGUGUAGAUGCAGAUUGAGCAAAUCCCGGUCGCUUGGAAGAGACGGUGUGUGCUGGUGGAGUUUCGAUCUUGAAGCCGGCCGCAUGCAGCGGCGCAUGGUCGAGCCCACCGCGGCACCGUGAUCGUCGCUGAAUCUUUCAGUGGCAUGUCGAUGAAGAUGGCGCUGAUGGAAGCAACUCGUCCGUGCGCGGCUUGGGGUCGAGGCCGUGCCGCCCGAAGAGCACGUGGGGUUGUGCUGCCGUCGAAGGAGUUGCUCGGUGAAGAUAAUGCAUGUCGACGUCGGAGUCGUGUUGCACGUGAUAUCGAUGUAGUAGAUCGGAUCGUGCUCGCUGGACCGGUCGCUGCGUGUUCACAACGCUCAGCGGUGUGUCGCCCAUCGCGGGCAGUUGGCGGCGCUCAGCCGCCGUUCGUAGAACCGAUCUGUUUUUUUUUUCAGGGAUGUGGCUAGGUCUUAGUCGACUAAAAUUUAACAAGUUUCAGUUAAGUGACAUAAUAUGCAAAAAAAUAAAAAUAAAUAUAUGAAAGAAAAUUUUACACGGAUCUCAAUGUAAGAUCUCAGUCGACUGAGAUUUAGCAAGACUUUUUCUUCACCGGUCAGUGGGAUCGAUUUAAUUUAUUUUAGUCUAAAGAAUUUGACCUAAAGUACUUUAAAAAUCAAAGAAUUGAUCUAAUCUAAUCUAAAAACCAAUCUCAUCUUUUGAUCAGAUCGGGUGCUGCGCCCUUGGGGCGUGGAGAUUAAUCUCCCCGGAGGCGGCACGCAGCGGAUGUGAUGGAGAAACCUAGGAUCGACGUCGUAAGACUAACCGCUCUAAUAUCAUGCGGAAAUUGUAUGAUGUCUAGAAUAUUUGCGUUAUCGUUGUAUUGAUCUGACCCUCGUGGGCAUAUAAGUUACACGUUGGUCUAAACAUAUUCUAUUUCUACCUCCUUAUCUCUAACUUGAACUCAAUUGUACUUCUAACACAUAUAUAGUAGUCAGAUGCUUGUUGCACCAACUCAUUUUUUCACAAUUUUUUGUGUUUUGAUAUAUGAGAAAUACUAAAGAAAUCCAAGGUGAAAAAUAGAUCUAGGCAUGUAUAUAAAUAAUAAAUGAUUCGUUGAAACAUUGAUAAUCCUUGGAUAUUUGUGUUUCACUGCUAUCAAUGAAUCAUAGAAAACCUCAAUCUGUGUAGCACCUAUACCACCCAAAAGGUCCAAUUAAAAUAACAAUGCAUAUUCGGGUUGAUUGUUUGUGCAAAUAUAUUCUAAGCAACAUGAGGUUUCAAUAACAGUACAGUAAGGAGAUGUAUAAACAACAUCAACAACUUGACCAUUGCAGCAAACUGAUCUGUCAAAAUAUAAUCUCCAUGGCACUAAAGAGAUAAUGGUUAUAUCAAUGUUGUGAACUUGCCAGUGGUUGAAAAGCCAAUUCCAGCUAUCCUUAUGAACUGUGACAAUCAGACAGUAAUUGUCAGGGCAAAGAGUUCAAAUGAAAACAUGUAAUCCACAAAGAAAAUAAGAAGGAUACUAAAAUAUGCCACACAUUCAAGAAACUCUGGAGUAAUAGCAUUGGACUGCAUCCAAUCGGCUAAGAAUUUGGCAGAUCCCUUCUGAAAAGGGCUAUCACAAACCGUGAUAAUAAAUGCAUCGAGGGAGAUAGGUAUGAGACCAACAUGAGUUGUCAUGGUGGUUACCUAACCUAUGUGAUUGGAGAUCCAUGAAAUAGGACCUAGGAAACAAUCUACUGGCUAACUAAGGAGAGUAACCCUAUUAACUCACUCCAUUGGAGAUGCACUACUUUCACAAUUUGUAUGUCACAUUGACUUUUGUCUUAAUGUGUUCUAAGGCAUUUAUUAGCAAGAUUCUAUCCUACAGAUCGAUCUUUGAAAACACACACCUAUAUGAGCUCGACUGCUGGUCACAGCCUAUGAGAUAGGGUAAUCUCUAGGAAGCUCAUGAACAAGUCGGGACUGUGACAAUUAAGCUCCACCUGUGGAGUUAGCCUUCGGCAACCUAGUACCGGUAAGACAACUGGUGAAACUUCUUUACGCCAAAUUGACAAUUCAAAGUAUAGUCCACUAUUCAGUUGUGAUGAAGUGUAACCCUUUGCUAGUGGACGUUCAACCUUAACCGAUCUCCACUAAAAAUAUCAGUAUAUCAAAACAACUUUUUAGACAAAGGACAACCUAAUGUGCCUCUGAGAUCUAGUGAGGCAUUGUUGAAUUGUAGAUGGGCUUUGGUUCCAUAUAAACAAUAAUUCAUGGUUAGUCUCUAAGGCCCAUGUGGUGUGCAUGACAUGGUGAGAAAUUUAGUACCCUACUGCUAGUGGAAGAGAGUUACACCUCUUUACAAGUUAUUCUCUUUCACAUGCUAUUGCUGCUUGAGAAGAGGAAUGAUACACACGCUCCCCCUCCGCCGCCCAUCUCGCCAUGCCAAGCAUCGUACGCGCUUCGUGUUUCAUGAAUGAUCCGAGCCGAGCUUAGACCUAUGUCAUGAGUGCACUUUAUUUUUGCCGGUCAGGAACAAUUAAUUAAUUAAAGAUAUCCGAGAGGUUGGACCGUGAGUUAUUGCCUACUUAGUCAUGGGCCUAAGCCCUGGCCCACGACUCCCUACCCAACGACCUAUAUAUUGGAGGCGUUGGCAACGCUAGCCGAUACACACUCUCUGCCUCCUCGUGCAUAACCCUAGCCGUCACUACCGUCCCACUAACUGUUGAUGCUUCCGGCAAUCCCAUCCUGUCGACCAUACGACAUGUAAUGAGAUGUACAUACCUUUAUAACUAGGGUGGAAAGUGAAACUAAAAGUUAUCAACAUAGCAACUCUCAUGGGCCUCUCUCCGCGCUAGGGUCAAAGGUAAGAGAAGUUCCCAGAACCUAUAGCAAAAAUCCCAUUAUUUAGUUUUCUAUUUUUUCAUUCUUUUUUGCAUUUUGUUUCCUUUUUUGUUUCUUUUUCCGGUUCCUUUUUUCUUUUGGUUGUUAUUCUACUUUUUUUAUAUGCCAACAACAUUUUUCUAAUACACAUCUACAUUUUUUCAAAUGCUUGAUUAACAUUUUCUAAACUGACUAAGGCAUAGCCUAGUGGUGGGAAGGGGUUGAUGCCUUCCCACCCACCCAGGUUCAAGGCAUGGUACCUGCAAUUUGGGUUUGUUGCACCAAUUAUACUAUAGGGGGUUCCCUUACAGUCUUUCUAUAAAAAAACAUUUUCUAAAUUCAAUAUUAACAUUUUUUGAACACAUGGUCAACAUUUUUCUAUACACAUUUAACAUUUUCCAAAUGCUUGAUUCACAUUUUUUAAAUAUUUGUUUAACAUUUUUUCAAAUGCUCUAUAAUUUUCUUAUAUACAUGAUCAACAAAUUUCUUGAUUUUUUUAAUUUAUGAUCAAUAUUUUUAAUACACAUUUAAUAUUGUUCAAAUGCUUGAUCAACACUAUGUAAGUACUUGUUCAACAUUUUUUUGUAUACACAUUCAACAUUGUCCGAAUGCUUGUUCAACAUUUUUCAAACACCCGUUCAACAUUUUAAUACCUAUUUAAUAUAUUUUUAAUACUUUUUCAACAUUUUUAAAAUACUCAUUCAACACUUUUAAUAAUUGUGAAACAUUUUUUAGAUGCUUGAUUAUCAUUUUUAUAUGCAUGAUCAAGAAUUUUAAUCAUUUAUUAAUACAUGCUCACUAUUUUUUAUACAAAUUCAACAUGUUUUAAAGUGUAAAUAAAACUAAAUGUGGAAUCAAAAAAUGAAGUAAAAACAUGGAAAAAAACAGAAAAGAAAACGAGGCAGUGUACCUACCAUGAACGAGGCAGUCUUCUGACUCACUGAAUGUGAGACAUGGCAGCGCCCCCCAAUGAGUGAUACAUAUCAAUUAUGCUCUUAGCGAGCACCCCAUUAGUCACCUACGUCUUCCACGCCUAGAAUAACUAGCACGCCACUUCUUUUAGAAAAACUAGCACACCACACCGAAAUUCAAAAAAGAAAAAUACUGCCCUUAAAAAAAUUAGUGGCACACCAUACUUUUUUUAAGGGCAUACCACACGGUGUUGGUUACGAAAUGUCACACCACAUGUGUGUUUGUGUGUGCCCGAUAAAUAAAUACGUAUGUAAAAGAACUUAUCUCCCAUAUAUUGAAAAGGUAAAAGGUGAAAAAAAAACGCCAUGCAUCACAAGAACAAAAACAAUGACAUAUUUAUAAAAUAUACUAUGAUAUUUUGAAAAAUACUCGAUAACCAUUUUUAAAAGUAUGGUGAAUAUUUUCGAAGUACACACUGGAAAAUUUCUAUGUACAGAGUGAAUAUUUUACAAAAUAUAUGAUGAACAACUUUAAAUACGUGAUAAAUGUUAUUUAAAUAGAUGAUGAAAAUAUUAUAAAAAUGCAAUGAUGAAAUAUUGACAUAUAUUAACCUACACGAUGAAGGUAUUUGAAAAACAAAAUGAACAUCUUUUAAUAAACCACAAAAAAAAA
rnacentral:lncRNA from 1 species